rnacentral:lncRNA from 1 species
GAGGUGGUUUGAGCUGAAGGCUAUUCUUGAAUCUCUUCUUCCUUCAUCACCCUAGAAUUAUUUGAUUGUAAACUUGAUCGACCAAUGAAAUGGACUUAAUGAAAUGAAAUGAACUUUUAUUCUCACAUCUCCCAUGUGACUGAAUAGUAUUUCUUUAAAAACCUUCCAUUGAUUGGCAAUUUGUGAACAAUACUGGUUCGAUCUCUAAAAUAGUAUGCCCCUUUAACGAGGACUUUAUGAAUAACAAAUGGCCCAUCCCAAUUCGGCAACCACUUGCCAAACCUGGGGUUUUUAAUUUCUACGGGUAGUACGGUUUGCCAAACCAGUUUUCAUUCGCCGAACAUUUUUUGCUUAACUCGUUGAUUAUAUGCACGCUCAGCGAUCUUCUUUUGAGCCACUAAUAAGUUAUAAGCAUUAAACCGAGCUUCUUCUAAAUCAUCUAGUUCUUGUCUCAUGACUUGACUGUACUCAGCGCUGAACAAACUACUUUGUUCAAUUAUUCAUAAUGAGUUUAUACUUAGCUUGACUGGUAACAUUGCGUCGUGUCCAUAAGUUAACGCGUACGGAGUCGUUCUAAUGGCUGUUCGCAAAGAGGUUCGAUAAGCCCAUAAUGCUUCGUUUAUCCUUAAGUGCCACAUGCCUGGCCUUUCUUUUAUCAUCUUUUCAAGAAUACCAAUAAGAACCUUGUUACUUGCCUCGGCCUGUCCAUUCUCCUGCGGGUAGUAUGACGUAGAUUACUUGAGUCGAAUCUUUAGAUUUACCGUAUAGUCCUUAAAUCUGUCGGAUGUAAAGAUUGUACUGUUAUCUAUUAUGAUUGUUUCUGGCACACCGAAUCUAGUUACAAUGUUUUCUUCAACGAAGCUACAAACCUCUUUAGAUGUUAGCUCGGCAUAUAACUUAGCUUCGACCUAUUUGGUGAAGUAGUCCGUUGCAACAAGUAUCCACGCGUGUUUGGCCACACCAGAAGAUGGUGUGAUUUUACCGAUAACAUCCAUGACCCAUCCUCGGAACGGCCAUGGUUUGGUGAUCGAAUGUAAUGAUUCGGCCGGUACUCUCUGUAUAGGCCCAUGAAUUUGACACUGUACACAACCUUUUGCGUACUCAAUACAAUCCUUCAGAAUACUUUGCUAGAAAUAGCCGUGUCGUCGAAGUAGCCAACGCAUUUUUCGUCCAGAUUGAUGGGCUGUGCAAAUUCCUUCGUGUACUUCUGCCAUUGUUUGAGCAGCUUAUUACGGGCCGAGGCACAGCAACAGUAACCCAUCCUUACCUUUUUGAUACAUUUCAUUCUGGUAUAAUACAUAGUUUGUGGCAUGAACCUUUGUCCGUCGGUGGUGUUUUUCGUUGAGGUUAUCAAUAUAUCGUAUAAUCAUCCUUCUCCAAUCGUCUGGUAAUGACUCAACGACACUAACCUCAAUACUAUCAUUCCGUUCUAACAAUGAAGGUAAAGAUAUGACUCGUGUAAGGAUCAUGCAAUCAGGUUGGAGAACUUGCUAAUUAAUCAAGGCCGAAUGUGCUUGUCGUGACACAGAUAUUUCUCGGCCUAAUUUACCCCCCAUGAGUUGGGCUCUCGGAGGCUAUUUGAGCCAAUUCGUCGGAGUCAGUGUUAUGAACUAGUGAAAUAUGUUUGAAAAUUACUCCGUCAAAGGAUUCGGCCAAAUAGCUGGCAACCAUGUGGUAAGACGCCAGAGUACAACUCAUGCAAUGAAAAGUCCCAUUAAGUUGAUUAAUGACAAGUUCGAAGUUGCCAAGAACAAGAACACGAGUUGCCCGUAAAUCGUGCAGCACGCCGAGGUCGAUAACAAGGGCUUCGUAUUCGGCCUAAUUAUUCGUACAAUCGAAAUCAAGCUGGAGAGAAAAAUACCAACGAUUAUGAGUGGGGGAUUGAAUAACGAUCCCAAAGCUAGCUGAGACUGAAAUACUGGAACCAUCAAAGUACAUCGUCCAGUAAUUAUCACGUGUCUGUAUCAAGUCGAUGUCAACGUCAUUGCCUUCAAACUCAUAUGGGGAAGGGUGUUAGGCCAAAAAAUCAGCUAGGGCUUGACCUUUGACAGCUUUCUGGGGUAAAUAUUGCAAGCUGAAUUAAGAAAGGGCCAUUGUCCAUUUGCCGAUUUGGCCCUUUACGAUCGGCCGAGUGAGCAUGUAAUGAAUGACAUUAGUCUGGGCGAUGACCUGAGUGACUGACGGGAACAUGUAAUGUCUGAGUUUUGACGCGGCAAAAAAUAGGGCAAGACAAAGCUUCUCGACCGCGAAGUAAUUAAUCUCGGGCGGGUUGAGGUUUCGGCUAAGGUAAAAAAUGGCAUGUUCUCGCCCGACGUCAUUAUCUUGUGCCAGAAGGCAUCCGAUGGAUUCUUCGACCACCGAGAUAUAUAGCUUAAGAGGUCGACCCUAUCGUGGUGGAACGAGGAUGGGUGGCGUCGUUAGAGAGACUUUGAUCUGCGUGAAGGCCUCUUGGUGCUCGACACGCCAUUCGAAGGUGUCGGAGUCAUUGAGUUUCAAAAGCAUGGAAAAAGCUUUCAUUUUCCAAGCUGAGUUAGCAAUAAAUCGUCGAAGAAAGAACUGAGCAACGACUGUAAUUGUUUCUUAAUCGUCGGUGCUCAUUAAUGAUUACGCAUGCCUUGUUGUCGUCUACCUCAAUACCACGGUGAUGUACGAGGAAGCCUAAAAAAAUUUCAGCUGAUACGCCGAGAACACAUUUGGUGGGAUUCAUCUUCAGAUUGUGCCGGCGCAUGCGCAGGAAUGCCUGACAGAGGUCAUCCAAAUGUGUCUGCCGUUGUGCUGAUUUGAUGACUACAUCGUCGAUGUAGACUUUGACGAUGGUACCAAUUAAAUCAUAAAAAAUAGUGUUCAUAGCUCGUUGGUAUGUAGCACUGACAUUCUUGAGACCGAAGGGCAUGACGACCUAUUUGUAUGUGCCGAGUGCCCUGGGACAUCGAAAUGUAGUCUUAUGAACAUCAGCUUCGGCGAUGACAAUGUGGUUAUAACAGGCAUGCCCAUCCAUUACGGAUGGGAUCUUGUGAUGUGCUACAACAUCAAUUAGCAAGUCGGAGAUCGGCAUCGGGUACUUAUCUUUAAGCAUUGCCAGGUUCAGAUUAUGAAAAUCGAUACAGAUGCAUAGGACGCCAUUUUUCUUUAGCACCGGGACGAUAUUGGCCAGCCACUCGAUGUAUCGAGUGGUCCGUAUAAACCUGACUUUUAAAAGUCAAACUAAUUCAUCUUUUAUGUCGAGUUGUACUUUAGUCGAAAACCAACGAGGGGGCUGGUGGAAAGGCUUACAACCAGCUUUGAUGCAUAAUUCAUGUUCAACAUGGGUCCGAUCAAUGCCCGACAUCUCAUGAUAACUCUAAGGAAAACAAUCUUUAAACUCGUUGAGUAAUUAACAGAGUUCAACUUUCAUAGCAUGGGGUAACAGUGCACUAAUAAAUAACGGUCGAGGGUCAUCGACCGUUUUGACAUUUAUUUCCUCUACUGGGUCCUUAACUUGGGGUCGACUGUCUUCGAGUUUGGCCGGUACGGCUUGAACUUUGUUUAACGACAGUACUGGGCCAUUAUCUUCCUCGGCCAAAAAUUCAAUUAAGUUGAUGCCUGAAUGUGCGUGCUUGGAAAUAGCAUACCAAUGGGCCAAAAGACGUUUCAUCGUGGAUGAAAUCGCGGCCCGACUUCUCUCGCCUUCGACGUAAUCAUCAGUGGUAAGGAUCAAGUUGGCCAAGCCGAGUCUUGCCGAAUCCUGAUGGAUAGUCUCGGCACCUACCUCGAUGGCUUUCUGGACUGAGAUUCGAGUCGACCGUCCAUCUUCAUUAAAACCCUGUAGGGUAAUGUAGCCGACGUGAUCAUCAUAAUAACGGGCCUGAAUCAUAUUGGUUUCAAAUGGCUGAUUAUCGGCUGGGUGAACCAUGACCGAUUUCCCGUCCCAAAAAAUGAGAACUUGGUAUAAAGAAGAAGGGAUACAAUUCAUUUGAUGAAUCCAAUCCCUGCCGAGCAAAACAUUAUACUCGGUCUUGGAGUCGAUGAUAAUAAAUACGGUCAUGUGAUUGCGACCUGCAAUGUUCACCUCCAAAUGAAGUAUUCCUUUGGUUUGAGACUUGUCACCAACGAAGCUGCUCAUGGUUAUUCCUGAAGGAAUGAGUUUGUCAUUGGAUUGUCGUAAUGCUUUCAUGAUGGAUACAAGCAUGAUAUUGACUGUUGCUCCGCAAUCAACGACAAUUUUGAAGAUUGGGUAACCUUCAAUGUAGGCCGUGACAUAUAACGGCUUUAAAUGCUAAAGAUUAGCCGAGGAGGAGCGGGGAAACAAGAUGGCCAGGGUUGUCUUAAGUUUGUCGUCAUUGUUUGUUGGCUCAUCUUCAGUGGUGGUGACGAAAUCAACUUGUGUUGCUUCCUCGGCGACCACAUCACCAUCCAAGGAAUUUGGUUAGUGUGUAGUUGGCUGGAAUUCAGCAGGUAGAACAUGAACCAUGCUGAUUUCCAUAUUCUCAAGGACUGAAGGGCCCAUUGGAUCCUGGUCAUCAUCUUCCGAGUUAUUGAGGAGUAUAACAUCGUGCAUUAGAGCAUCCUCGGCCUGAUGGUCGGGUGUCUCAACAGGUACUUGCUCUUGCGUCCAGGAUCCCAACCUUGUUUCCUUGGGACUGUAGUUGUUGAGCCCGUUUGUUUCCAGUGCCUGACUUUGCUCCUGCAGUGUUUUUCGAGCACGUUCUUCAUAGGAGAUUCGGGCGUCCCUUGUGUCUAGGUAGGUAUCCAAACGUGUCACCCGAUCUUUCUCAUCGGUCGUUAGAUCGAAUAGAGAUACGGCCAAAAAGACUUCGAAGUGAUAUCAUAGGCGUUAAAGGUCUUCGAGAGAAAAAGAGAGUUCGGCUAUAUCAAUGUCCGUGUAUGGAUCGACCUCGAAGCCAAGAACCCUAGCCUCUCGUAUGUACUAGAAUCUAGUUUUCAUUGCUGGGUCGGUGGUUUUUUUGAUGAUCUGUUCAGCAUCACGGCAGGUUAGUGCUAGGUAAAGAGCUUCUUGACACGCAUUGGGUAGUCCAUACAAAUCAUUGGCGGAAUACUUCUUGUGAAACUCUUUCAUGUAUUCCAGGGAUUCACCAAGGAAUGGAGGGUGUAGAUUCCGCCAAACUCUUAUUAGCGGCUCUUUCGGAGGUAACGAGGAAAGUUGGCUUUCGACUUCUUUCUUAAACUGCUUAAAGCGAGCUUUCAUCUCCCCGGGCCGAAGGAGGAGUUUGAUGCGUUUCUCAGACUCUUCGAUGGUAGUUUCGUAGUCACGAUUGAUUUCCUUAUGCCCCUGUAAUUCAGCCAUGAUUGUCGAGGUUGGCCGGUCGUCUCCGCUUCCUACCGUCUCUUUCGGCUGCUAUUUAGUAGCCGAAACAGUCUGGGCCGCCUGCCGUCGAGCCAUACAAUCUAUACGCUGACGUUGACGUUGACGUUUUUUAGAUUUAGACAGCGCAAUAUACAUGCCGGUGGGAGAAUUGUAACUGUACCAACGUUGGUCACGUGGUUCGGGCGGUUUGAAGGUUUUUUUAUUUCCUGAUGAGCUUGAGCUAAUGGAAUUACGUGAAUAAUAAUCCUCGUUAUAAAAUGAUGCGUCGAAAUCAAUGUACCGUCUGACCGAGGUAGGGCCGUCCGUUUGUUUCUGAGGGCCGAGCUUAUCGAACAUUUUCUGGCGCUGGCCUUCACUAGGUUUCUUUGGAGGCGCCACCGUGGCCGUAGAUUGUUGCCGCGAUGUCGGUGCCUGAGUCUGAGACAGUUUCUCCUUGGGUUCAGUUAAUACAACGCGUGCCCUACAAUUGCUGCACAAAACUAUCGGCCCGUCACUUUCUUCUACACUGGAAUCUGACAUGGAUUCAACUACAACCGGUCCCAAGAACUUGGUAGGUGGUUCAUUGGAAAAUAGGUCGAUCUUGAGUCAUGGCUGGGAAUGUUUCUUUGGGAUGUGUUGUACUAGGACAAACUCGACCUUCCAUUUCCCUAUACUCUUGGGCAAACGGGUGUCUACCAUGCCAACUUUUGCCGAAGGGAAUGGAUCAGUGUUGACCGUCAUUCAUUUUUCAGGAAACUUUAGCUUGCCUUUGUCAAUCUAGCUUUGGAUAUCAUCACAUAAUACGACGCAGUUGUUUGUGGUAUGCUUGAUCGAGUUAUGAUACUUGCAAUACGUCUUUCCUUUAAGUUAUUCGGCCUUGGGAAUGUUAUGUCCUAGUCAAAGUUUGAUGAUCUUUGCUAAUAACAAUUGGUCGAAAAUUGCCUCAGCCUUUGUGAUAUCGAAAAUGUAAACUUUCGAUGUUUUCAUCGUCCCUUUAGUGGCCGAGCGUGUUUUGGAAUCCUUGGAAUUAAUUUGAGUCGGUGCCUUGCAAAUGUAUGGUUUAUCUAUUACUAUCUCGACCGCGUCCACGCUGACGUAUUGAGAAUCUUCACUUUCGGUUAAUACGUAGCUGACCGUGGGAUUUUUGUAAAUCGUUCAUCGGGAUGGAGAUUUCGAGAUCUUUUCUUCUUGGAGCAAAUAAUCAUAUUGCUCAACAUGCUGGGCUAAUUCAUACAUAUCCCGAAAGUUUUCCCCUAAGAAUUUCUUUUUGUACUCUACAUCGAGCCCAUUUAGAGCAAGCCUAACAAAUUCGACUUCGGGGAAAUGUACUCAGCACCAAUUCCUGGCCGAUUUAAAUCUUGUAAGAUAAUCCAUUGGUGACUCAUCAGAUGCUUGAGCCAUCCUAGCCAAUGAAUAAACUGACAUUUCCAUCCCCGACCCAUAAAACUGUUCGUGAAAUUUCUUGACCAACGCCUCCCAGCUUUAGAUAGAAUUAGGUAGGAGGUUGAUGUACCAUGCGAAUGCUGAACCUGUCAACGAAAAGUUAAACAACCGUAGUUUAUGAAAAUCACAAUUGACAUAUCCGCAUUGCGCAGUGAAACGAGCCACAUGUUCUAACGAGGAUAAGGACGAUUCUCCAGCAAAAAGGCUGAAAUCUGGAAUCCUGAAACCUUUAGGAUAUUCAAACUUUUCCAUAUAAGCUGGAUAUUGGUGGAUGAAUUUUAGGAACUUCGACCCUUUUUCCAUAGCUGAAUUGAUCAUCCAUUGGACCUCAGUCAUAUCGAUGGAUGUUGUUUCCACUUUCUGGUCAGCUUCAUGUGACCUACUACUUGAUCCUCCCCUUUUUUCUAAAUCAUUCGUUUUGGGCCGAGUAGACACUGUUUCAGCCUGUGGCGGAGUACUUUUAAGUGGAAGCUGCCAAGCCUGAUCAACCGGUCUUCUGUCGAAGGCUUUGUAAACCAAUAGUUCGAGCAGUCUGGUAUGGAUCUCACCAUUGUUUCGUAUCACCUCGAGCAAAUUGUUCAUUUUUUGAACAACUGUCUGUUCAACCUGUCGAGAUUGCUCAUCAAGUCAUCUUCGGAGAAACGACCUAGUUGGAGGGUCAGAGCCUUCCCCACCGUCUUCGUCGCAGUCCUCCAAUAUUCAUUCAAUGAAAACGCAUGCGGUUUGGUUAGGUACUUCUGUGUUUUGAGGCUGAGUACCGAGGAACACUUCCUUUUCUAGUGUUUUACACUAGCAGCAUUAGGGGUCAAAGUGACAAUAGGAUUUUACACAUGCGACACCUCUUGUCCAGGACUCUAAACUAGCAGAUCGGUCGCUGAUUUUCCCAUGGUUGUUUUCUUUUUUACUGACCGUGUCUCGAUGGUCAUGAACUUUGUAGUUUUAGCACUGGGUCUCACUGGGCGUGCCAAAAUGUUAACCCUAAAACUACUAAGCCUACGUGGCGCGUAGGUCGAGUAAUUAGUAAGCUAACUAUGUCCUUUGGUUGUAUGCGAGACGUGCCAACUCGUUGGCCGAAGAGUAAAAUUUGUUGAUGUUGUGUUGGGUGCGCUGCUGACUUCUAAAUCUUGCGACUGCGGCCGAGGAAGGAACACGUCUCGGCAUUCAAGUUCUAGAGCUUGAAGACAAGGCUACUAGUUAUGCGAAGUUCAUAAAUCGUCGGUGCCAGAUUCGAUCACAAUGAUUAUAUUCGUAAGAGUAUAAGCACGCCGAAUCGACACUAAAGUAUAGGGACACAGGUAACAAAUGUACGUCUUGAUUGUAAAGGUGGUUCGACCGUCAGAAUGCCGAACUCUAAAACCUACUUGAGAAUAACCAAUCAUAAACAACUCAGCGUUCAACGUGUCGAGCCCAGUAACUCAUAACACCUCACUUCGUCGAGAAGGCUAAUGAGAUAACAUCUGCCAAGAAGGACUCGAAAAUCCUUCUUAACCGAGACUUGGAUAGAAAACCAAUCGGCCUCGACGCAGUGCUGUUUAUCCAAACUGAAGGUGCUCCGCGGUUGACUGAUUCUACGGCAACAGUGCUGUUUAUCCAAACUGAAGAUGUUCGCCGGUUGCCUUCACAGUGAUGUUUAUCCAAACUGAAGAUGUGUUGGUGGAAAAAGAAAAUAAAAAUCUCAAGGUUGCUGAGAGGUUUCGCGUAGAGCGAGGGUUUGCGCAGGGUAAUUUGUGUGUUGAAUUGGAGAGGGUUUGUUCGAUGCUCUCUCCCUAUUUAUAGUAGCCAACCUGCAUUGAAUCUUAAUCAUUCUCGGAUUAGAACUCAUUCCCCCGAUCCAACCUUAUCUCGGCCAGUCCUACUCCUACUAGGACUUUGAACUUAACUUGUUAUCAGGCCGCAUUAAAUCUCAAACUCCAACAUCCUUAUCCUGUCAAAACUCCUUCUCAUAAUAGGACUCACCCACAUCCCACAGGUUCUCAACGGGAUAAGGCCAACUUCAACCGCGUGGCCCAUGAGCUGGAUAAACCCUAAUGACACCUAAACACGGCCUCUGGGCCGAGAACAAUUCUAAAUUCGGCCCGACCAAUACUGGGCCAAGAGCAAUUCUAAACUCGGUCCAAACCAAUAUUUUUGGGCCCAAACAGUAACAUAUUUUGUUGUAAACAUUUAGAUAAAUUAAUUUUUAUUGUACAAUAUAUUUUGAUGUACUUUGUCUUUUUCAUUUAGGUACAUUAAAUUCAUGGGAAAAUUAGAAUGUCCUACUGUUUUUCUAUAUCAUUUAGAUUAAACAUCUGUGCCUUUUUAAAAUUUGAUUAAAGUGCUUUGACCAAUAGUCACCUCUAUUUUUUUAAAUUAAAAUAAUUUUUUAAUUUAUCCUUUUAUCUGCAUGAUGUACUUUUCCUUAUUUAGUGGAGAUAUUAGUAAUUAAAUUAUAUUUUUUCUUCUUCCAAAUAUGUUUUUACAAUCAUAGUUUUUUUUUUUGUUAUGCAAACAUUUAAUAUUAUUUCUUUUUCCAAAUGAUUUUUUCCUUUUCAAAUAGUUGGUGAUCAACAUAAAAGCUUCGUGUAAUUUUUUUUCAAUUUUUUGUGAAAUUAUAUAUAUAUAUAUAUAUAUUUUUUUUUUGGCUGUUUUUUUAAGUAUAGUUGUUGACGAAUUACUAGUAGAUACAAUACAUUACGUAUAUAUUAUCUGCAGGUACGUUUGAAUUUACAAAAAUCAUUAAUUGGUAGGUUUAUUUGCAAUUUUGUUACGUUUGAUUCAAUACAUAUUGUUAAUAUUGGUACAUUAUUUUUAUUUUGUACACAUUGUGUAUUGGUACGUUUAUAUUAUUCUCAAUCCUAUUUUCUCUUAACGUACUAAAAGAAAAACUUAUUUCGGUACGUUUGAUUUUGGAGGGUUUAAAAAUAUUUUAAACGAUUUUGGAAAGAAAAUAUCUUAAAUCGUAGAUAAUUAUUGCUAAAUUGUAGCAUUAUUGUGAAAAUAAAUUGAAUCUUACCAUUUUUUUAACAAUUAUCUCUAACAGUGGAGAGUGUAAUCAAAAGGCUAGAUUAUAGGAAAUUUGUUAAAAUAUAAUGUGCAUUUAGCACCAAAAUUAUGACAAAAAAAAGUUUAAUCAAAUCACUAAAAAGUAUGGAUGUUUGAUCUAGAAAAUUCAAAACUGAAGUGCCUAUAUCAAAAGAUCCCUAAAUUCAUUAUAAUACAUUUCCAUACAUACAUUUAUGUACACAUAUUUUCAUACAUACAUUUCGAUACAAACAUUUAGAUACAUUAAUUCAAGAUAAUAUAUUUCAGUACUAAUAUUUCUGUGCGUAGAUUUUGAUACACAUAUUUAGGUACCUUAAUUUAAUAUAAUACAUUUUGGUGCAUAUAUUUCGGUACAUACAUUUCGGUACUAAUAUUUAAAUACAUUAGUUCAAUAUAAUACAUUAUUUAGGUACAUUAAUUCAAUAUAAUAUAUUUUGAUACUAACAUUUCAGUAUACAUUUCAGUGCAUACAUUUAGGUACAUUAAUUUAAUUUAAUACAUUUCAAUGCAUAUAUUUUGGUACAUACAUUUCGGUACUAACAUUUAAGUACAUUAAUUGACUCUUUCAAGUUUGAAGAAUGUUAAAUAAAAUUAAUAAAUAAAAAAAAAUUGGUCAAAAAAAUGAAUUAAAAUUUGUAUAUUAAUAAAUUUAAAUAUUUAAUGGGAGACAUUAAAUAAAAUGCACAUUAAUUAUUUUGAAUUAAGGACACAUAAGGGGAUUAUGAUCAAUAUGUAAUCUAACACCAAUUUAUUUUAAAUUUUAAUAUUUUUAAAGGAUUAAAAUUAAAAAACCUCAAAUUUUAUUUUGUCAAGUCAUGAGGCAUGGCGUCGAUGAAAUUGUUUGGUGUGGUAUUGUUUCUUUCUUUGUAUUAAUUGACCUUUUAAUGUAUUUUAAGGCCUGUAUUAUAGAUUUGUUUCAUAUCAAAUCUUAAAUUAUCGGUGUUAAUAAAAUUGAUUUGGUUUUGUAGAUCAGAAUUUUUAAGCAACAAAAUCAACCUGCAAAUUCAGUUCAGGUAUGAAUGCUUCCGCUUAUUUAGAUUGUUGAAUUGAUCUUUACCUUUACUAGAUUUUAUUUUUCAAUGUUGUUUGCUACAUUAACGUGUUACUUUAUUAUUAAUAAUACUAAUUUGGUUUUGUAGAUUAAGAUUUUUAAGCGGGAAUCAAGUUCAAAAUUCAAUUGAGGUAUGAAUCUUUUUGCUUAUUUGGGCUAUUGAAUUCAUCCUUGCCUUUACUGCAUUUUUUGACUGUUGUUUGGUGCAUUCUGGUAUUGAUUUUAUUAUAAUUUUAUGGAUUUUAAGUGGUUAUUUGGAUUUUGGAUUGUGAGAAGGAUCUGGUGGGUUUUCAAGAUAAUCAAAUAAGUUUGGGAUUUUUACCGCUUCUCUCUGCAUGCUUCUAGCUGUUAUAUAUAUCAAUUGUUUGCAUUUUUUUUUCUUUCGUUUUUACUCAAUUUUUUAACUUUUUCUCAAUGUGUGCUUCAUGUAUGUUUCUCAAUUGUUUGAAUUUACCUUUUGCCUUCAGUUUUUACUGAAUUUAUUGACUUUUUGUGCAUGAGUUAAUCUAUUUGUUAUAUGUCAUGGUUAAAGGUUUGGUUUCUUUCUUUUUUCUUUUUAUCAAUCCUCUCUCUUUACAAUUUGAGUUGAAUUACAAUGGGAUGUACAUCAAAGGAGGCUAAAAAGCAGUCUAGCCCCAGGAAAAGGCCAUAAACAAAGCAAGGAAAAAGACCAGUGGUUAAAAAGGCUAAGUAGUCCGAAAGAGAUUUAUACAAAACAUAAAGUGCAACCUUUGUCCAAAUCUUAGACAUCCCACUAAUCCAGAAAAAUACAAAAUGAUAGCUAGCUACACCUUUGCUUCAUUUUUCAAGUUGAUAGGUUACCCUGAGCCCCUCAAAUAAUUAACAAAUCAUCCAAACGUGUUUCACGUUGGUAGGUUAUCCUGAACCUCUUAAUAAUUAACAAAUAAACCAGCAUGCUUUCACAGUGCAUCUACACUAUUUGGUUCAGGAAGUGAUAAAACUGAAAGUUGAACAAUGUUUAUACAUCAGCUCCCACUAUAUCGUUAACUUUUAGCCCUCAAGUCUUAAUUAAGUUUUUGUUUUUUCUUUUGUUAAGUUUUGUCUGCAUAAAAACAAACUCACCAGCUCCCACUACAUCAUUAACUUUUGACACCCACAAUUAUUUUGAAUUAAUAGCACAUAAUAAAGCUACUUUAAUUUUCUUCUUUGGGAUUACUUUAAUGAUGCAGGCAUCCUUGGUAUUAUCUUCUCUGGGAUUACUUUAAUUAUGCAGGCAUCCUUGGUUUCAUUGCCUUGAAAAUGCAUGCAAUCUCGGACACGUAACAAAGUUGCUCACUUUGAUGAGCAAUUUUCCCUAUAAAAAAAAUUGAGUGCACCACAUCACAGAUCAUGGCCCAUAAAUUAUAAAAAUAGUAACGAAAACCUACAAAAGCAAGUGCCCCUUAGUUUACGUUUAAAUGUGUGAACAAAAGUCUAAAAUUAUGUGAAAAGUUUAAAAGUGUGUAAAAAAAAAGUUUAAAGAUGUAUGUAAAAGUCUAAAUGUGUGUUUAAAAGUCUAAAGCUGUGUGACUUAUGCUUAUUCUGCUAGGUUGUAUAUAUGUAAAUUAUGCUUAUUUGACUAUGAGUUUUGGUUUUAAAUCUUGUAUUGUAUUUUUCAUGAUCUUUACAAAAGUGAAAGGCAACCCUUAUAGAGAGCCGAAAAGAAGAUUACAAGAGGAAGGCAACAACCAUACCUCACUAACAAAUCAGUCCUAACAAGUGGACAAGACAAAUAUUAAUAACAAGUAAAGUGGUUCCUAGAAACAAGGAAGAAAGAUUGACAAAAGACCUAAGUGAGUGACAAGGUAUGGAAGACUAGAUUAUGGUUGAGAAAAUCACUUUAAGCCAUACUUAGCUAGAGUGAUGUUUACAACCAAACUUGUGACAUACAAACAACUAGCACUGGAAUUCGGUUUGUUUCAAUACUCCCCCUCAAGAUGGAUCAAGGGGGUUAAUUGAUCUAAGCUUGCACAACAAACGCUGGAAUUGAGUAGAAUCUAAGGCUUUUAUGAACAAAUCAGCCAGUUGAUCGUGGCCUUGUGUGAACACUGUGUCGAUCGCCUUGGAUUGAACUUGAGCACGAAUGUAAUGGCAAUGAACUUCAAUAUGUUUAGUCUUCUCAUGGAACACUGAAUUAGAGGCAAUGUGCAUGGCAGCUUGGUUGUCACAAAACAAAGACAUUGGUGUGUUGCUUGUGAAAUCGAGAUCAGAAAAAAAUACCUUUUAGCCAUAUAAGUUCACAUGAUGUCGUUUCCUUGGCCCUAUACUCAACUUCUGCUUUAGAUCGUGCAAUUACGGUUUGCUUCUUACUUUUCCAAGUGACAAGAUUACCUCUAACAAAUGUGCAAAAACCUGUGGUAGACUUUCGAUCAAUUACAUUUCCAGCCCAAUUAGCAUUGGUGUAAGCCAUAAUGUGAUUUGAACCAUUGUUCUUCAUAAGUAUUCAUCUGCCUAUUGAGCUCUUGAGAUAACGAAGUAUUCUUUUGACAAUUUCCCAAUGAACUAGUGUAGGAGAGUGCAUAAACUGAAUGGCUAGGCUUACUGAAUAAGAAAUAUCAGGCCUAGUAAUGGUUAGAUAAAUGAGUUUCCCAACCACUCGCUGAUAAACACUAGGAUCCGAGAGAGGUUCCCUUUUUCAUGCAACUGAAGUUUGCUAGCUAGGGGUGUCCGAGCUAGAUUGCACUCCAUCAUGUUAGCUUCAUCCAAAAGAUCUAGAGCAUACUUUCUUUAAUUCAAGAAUAACCCCUUGGAAGAAGUGGCCACCUUAAUUCCAAGAAAGUAUUUCAGGGUCCCUAAGUCUUUGAUGGCAAAUUUUUGAUGAAGUGAUUGCUUAAAAGCUAUGAUUUCACCCACAUUAUCACCUAUAAUAAUAAGAUCAUCAACAUAUAUAAGUACCACUAAUUUCCCAGUAUCACCACUUCGAACAAACAAGGAAAAGUCAACAUGACUCCUUUGGAACCCUGCAGCUUCAAGAACUGAACUGAGCUUCGAAUACCAAGCUCUAGGGGACUGUUUGAGACCAUAUAUGGCUUUGUGAAGUUUGCAGACCUUGUUGGAUUCCUUUUCUUUUGGAUGACCCGGAGGCAACUUCAUGUACACUUCUUCUUCAAGCUCCCCAUGAAGGAAUGCAUUCUUCACAUCCAUUUGGAAUAAAGGCCAUGCAUUAUUAACUGCCACAUAUAACAAUACCCUCACAAUGUUCAUUUUGGCAACUGGAGCAAAGAUCUCCUUGUAGUCAAUGCCAUAGGUUUUGUGUAAAACCUUGAGCUACUAACCAUGCCUUAUGUCUCACAAUGCUUCCAUUGGAGUUGAACUUGGUCUUAUAUAUCCACCUACUUCCCACUGAUUUCUUGCCCUUUGGUAGAUCCUCCACACUCCAUGUCUGGUUAUCAUUCAGAGCUUGGAGCUCUUAAGUUAUAGCAUCUUGUCACUCAAGCAUGCAUGAGGCUUCAUGAAAAUUCCUUGGUUCAAAAUUGUUGGAUAAUUUGUUAAGAAAAGAAGCAUGAGAUGGUGAGAAUCUGUGGUAAGAAAUGGAUGCAGAGAUAUGAUGCCUUGCAGUGUAAGUAGUGUACUCUUGCAACCUUACUGGUGAAUGUCUAUCUCGUGCAGGAUUUCUCUUUGGUGCACUUAUAACUUGCUGAGUUGGUUCAAGUUCUGAUGGUCCUGAAGAGUUAGCUAUGCCCUCACUUACACUCUCAGUGGGGUGAGAAUUCUUAGUAUUGGUAUGGGCAUGAGUGACUUCAUUAACUUCUGCUAGAGAAGGCAGUGGAAAUAGGUUCAUAAGAUCUUCCAUAUUGGGAUUAGUCUCUAAACCUUUGUGGAAAUAAGGUGAAUAUUCAUCAAAUUGAACAUCUCUAGAGACUGCCAGCUUCCCAGUAUUAGGAUUGUACACCUUGUAACCCUUUUGAGAACUGGAGUAUCCCAUAAACACACAUUUGAUAGCCCGAUGGUCGAGUUUAUCACGAUGGGAAGCUUGAAUGUGCACAUAACUGGUGCAACCAAAGGUCCUGAGGUAAGACAAGUUUAUAGACCUGCCCUUCAUGACUUCGAAUGGAAAUUUAGUAUUCAAAACAUGAGUUGGCAGUUUGUUAAUUAUGUAAGUGGCAGUGAGUAGGGCUUGAGACCAAAAUUUCUUGGGAACAUUCAUUUGGAUCAUAAGUGAUCGAGUCUUUCCCAAUAAGUCUCGAUUUUUCUCUUUGCCACAUCAUUUUGUUGUGGAGUACCAACAUAGUUAGUUUGAUGCAAAAUGCCAUGAGUGCUCAAGUAACUACUCAUGUUAUUGGAAGUGUACUCAGUGCUAUUAUCUGAUAUUAACAUAUAUAACUUACAUGAGAAAUGAUUUGUGAUUAGGUUGUGAAAGUUUUUAAAAGCAUCAAACAACUCACUUUUAAACUUUAAAAGAUAUAACCAGGUCACUUUAGAAUAGUCAUCAACAAAUGUAACAUAAUAUCUAUACCCAUCAAAGGAUUCUAGACGAGAAGGACCCUAGAUAUCUGAGUGAACAACCUCAAAAAGUCUACUGGUUCUAGAAUUAGAGGAAACAAAAGGAAGCCUAGUAGCUUUUGACAUUUAACAAGUUUCACACUCAAGGUGUUUUUAUAAAAAACAGGAAACAGCUUGGUCAUCAUAAGUUAGAGGGAUAGGUAAGACGUUGGUGCCAGAGUUGAUGUUCCUGAGCUUGACUUAAGUUGACAAUGAGUUUUUUGACAAAUUUGGACUCCUUUGAGAGGUAGUAGAGUCCAUUUAAGAAGAACCUUUCACCAAUCUUCUUCUGAGUAACUCGGUCCUGAAACACAACAUUGUGAGGGGGAAAAUGGUAAGGCAAUCUAAAGUUUUAGUGAUUCUUCCUAUGGACAAGAGUUGAAAAGGAAAGGAAGGUACAUAGAAGGCAGUGGAAUCAGUAUGCUUACUCAGCAAUCUAACUUUCCCUUUCCCUUUAAUAGGUUCCCUUUUCCUAUUUGCAACAGACACAUGAAUUGGAUCACUAGUUUUUUUUAAAUUCAUGUAGACUAGAGGAUUUAUUAGUUUUAUGAUCAGUGGCACCUGAGUUAAUAAUCCAAAAAUCAUGUGUAACAUUAGCAUUAAAAGCAGUGGAAAUGGCACUGAUUAUACCUGGAAAGUUACCUUUCGAUGUGUUCUCCGAGUCAGCCAAGAAACCAGCAAAUUUCCCUAACAUUGCAGUAAGGUUUUCAGUUAUCACUUCCUUAUGUUCAUUGCUUCCUUGCUUCUUUUGAAGAAAAACUACAAACUCAUUGAUCAAGGAAAUGGGGUUUGUUGAGAAAUUUGCUAUCUCAUCAGCUGAGGAACAAGCUAAGUGAAAGGCUUUUGGAGUGACUCCUUUUACAUCUUUGAUCAUCCGGCCUUCCCUAUCAAACUUAGGUUUUAACUCCAAAUGUAGGAUCCAACAUUUUUCUCUUAAAUGUCCCUUCAUGUUGCAGUAAGAAAAUUUCCAGUCAGUUUUCUUCCCAAACACUCUAUCACCAGUUGUCUUGUGAUUGGUUGUGAAAACCCUAGCCUUAUAGUGAGAUUUGGGCUCAACAUUCAUCACUUUUCGUCGAGUUUCUUCUCUCUAGACUGCAUGACACACACUGGUAAAUGAGGGCAGCUCUGGAGUCAUUAACAAAUGACUACGCAGGUCUUCAUACUUAGCUCCCAAGCUUGCCAAGAGUUGAAACACCUUAUCUUUUGCAUCCCUCUUAAAAAACACAGCGAAAUCAGUCGUGUGUAGACAGUACAAAUUGAGUUCAUUCCACAUGGAUUUCAAGCUCCCAAGAUGUUGAAAAUGAGUGGUCACCUUGCUUCAGACUAGCAACAUUCUUCUUUAGUUGAAAAAUGCGAACUAAGUUAUUUUGGCUACCAUACAUGUCUAUGACAGACUCCUAUAGAAGAAGGAAAUAUUUUGAGUAGCUGAAAAGCUCAGACAACUUUGGCUCCAUAAAGUUAAGUAUCCUGGACAUAACCAACUGGUCAGUAGCUUGUCAUGCAUCAUAAGUUGAUGAAGUGGAUUCUGGAGACUCCGAGCUUCCAUUGAUAAACCCUAGUUUUGAUUUUCCUCAUAGGGCAAGCGACACAGCUCUUGACUAGUUGAACUCAUUUAGUAGCACCGAACACAGUCGUUGAUUUGGGAUGUUCUCACUCCCUUGAGUUAAGUUUGGGGGUGAAGAUGAGGAGCUAUCAGCACUAGAGACAUUUUCUUCUACCAUCUCUUUCGAUGAUGAGCAAACGAAGAAGAAAAAAAAAGUGGACAGAGUCAGGACCUUAUGGUUCUUGCUCUGAUACCAUGUUUCGUUUUGGUUUUAAAUCUUGUAUUGUAAUUUUCAUGAUCUUUACAAGAGUGAAAGGCAACCCUUAUAGAGAGCUGAAAAGAAAGUUACAAGAGGAAGGCAACAACCAUACCUCACUAACAAAUCUGUCCUAACAAGUGGACAAGACAAAUAUUAAUAACAAGUAAAGUGGUUCCUAGAAACAAGGAAGAAAGAUUGACAAAUGACCUAAGUGGGUGACAAGGUAUGGAAGACUAGAGUAUGGUUGAGAAAAUCACUUUAACCCACACUUUGCUAGAGUGAUGUUUACAACCAUACUUGUGACAUACAAGCAACUAGCACUGGAAUUCGGUUUAUUUCAAUAGUAAGACGCCUUGGUGCCAGGAGAAGAGGAUUUCAUCUAGGAGUAGAACAAGAGGGCUUCAUUGGGCAUGUUGUUGCAGAUGAAUCCAAUGAUGAUGGUGUUCCAAAGCACGGUGGAGGGGCGAGGCAAAGUGUCGAACAGUUGGCGGGCAUGGUGGGGUUGGCCUUCCUGACAGAGCUUGCUGAGGCGGGAGCAGAUGGUGUGGGUUGUGAACUUUGGGAGGGAAAUGAUUGGGGAAGAGAGGUGGUUUGGGGUGGUGGGUGUGGAGAGAGGUAGAGCAAAAGCAGAGGAGGCCAUGGCUAUAAUGUUGGGUGAGUUGUUCUGUUAUUUUCCCUCCUUAUUUGUGGAUUGGGAUAUUGUUUUGUUUGGUUGGUCCCUCAUGCUUCCUUCAACUGCUUGUGCGCUUUAACUGAAAAUUUAACUUUCAUUUUCUAACCUUUUUCCCCUCUUCACAAAGAAAAAAAAGUGGUCCGACAUGCACUAGAUGAAUAAAUGUGCAUUCAAGAAUUCAUCAAUGAAGAAUUUACAUAGCAUAAAUGAUUUUUGAAAUUAUUCUCAAUCUUUACUUACCUGUGUUUACUAAAACAUGAGUAUCAAAAUUAUUCCAACACAAUUUAUUUUCUUCAACUAAAGUCACUCAAGCAUAAGUUUCCUCUUCAACUAAAUUUAAUAUCAAUUGUCAAAAUUCUCUCUUUAUUAACAUCUCAUUGAAGCACAAAAUAUCAGUCGACUUAAUCAUAAUUUUGAAAAAAAAUGUUUUGACUUCAAACAAAAUACCCCUAAUUUAAUCUUCUUCAUGUUUUGACAUUUUUUCAACAAAAGUAUGGAAUGAUUAGACGAGAUUGUGGCAUGAAACACCAUUUGAAUCCACUACCUUGGACUCAAAGUUCCCAAUUGGAGAGCUUGUGGCAUGGUGUGCCUAUAGUGACCUGGCCUAUGUAUGCAGAGCAGCAGCUAUAGCCGUUCAGAUGAUGGAGAAAUUUUUCUCUGUUUCUAUAACAUAAGCGGUAUACCACUUGUUGUUAUAUAAAUGGUGAAAAAAUGUUAUUUUUUACGUUAUUAUUUUUUUAAUACAAGAAUCUCACCACUUGUAUAAGAACACGUGGUGUACCACCCGUUGUUCCGGUCACACUGAAAAAUCUCUCCAUAUGAUGAGUGAUUUGGGGUUGGCCGUGGAGCUGAGAUUGGACUACAGAAAGGACGGUGGUGAUCAUUUUGUGGUGGCGGAUGAGAUUGAGAAGGCUGUGGGGUAUCUGAUGGACGGUGAUGGUGAGGUGAGGAAGAGGUUGUUGAGGAGUGAAGUGUGUUGGAAGGCAGUUGGAGAUGGUGAUUCUUCUUCUACUUCGUUUAUAUUGGAGCAAUAUUAGAAAAUAUGAAAAUAAUAAAAGAAUUUCAAUGAUACUAAUCAUAAAGAAAAAACAUCAAGUAUGCAAGAUUAAUACAAACAACUAGAGAGAAAGUAAGAAAGAUUGACAAACUUGGAGAUUGAGGUUUGCAUAAGAAAGAUUGACAAACUUGGAGGUUGAGGUUUGUAUAAAUGCAAUGUCCUAAAGACAGAAUUUCAUCCAUACUCUUGUGCUUAUAGUUUGGUAGGUAUCCGUCUCCUAGGAUUCAACAAUCUAUAAUCCGAAGUCAAAGCACUUCAAUCUUUGGACUCUGACGAACUUUAUAUAUUUUGUACUCUCAGGACACGACUCAGAGUUUGACUAACAAAGAAUAAAAGACAUUGGAGAAAACUCUUUUCUUCGAUUCAUUAGACAUGUGGGAUGUUUGAGUUUAUAUAGAACUCAAGCCACCCCUUUCGAAAUAUAGUGAAUGUUGUCUAAAGUUCCAAUGAAUAGAUGCAACUUAUGAAUUUAAAUUCAACCAUAACACUUGCCUCUUAUUUUUCAUUUAUACAGAAAAUAAAUAUUAUAAAUUAAUAUUAUAAUAUAUAUUUUCCAACAAUUUCAACAUUUGAUUGAGGACCAUUAUGUUGUCAAGCCUUGCUAAUAAAGAAGAAUGGUAGCAUCAGUCGUACACGUGCUUAGGGCCAAGCAUAGUUGCUCCUAUUUUGGAGAACUUACAAAAAUUAAUGGAUUGGCUCAUUUAGGUAUGUGCGACUGAUCUUAGCAUUUCUCUUCGGUGUAAACAAUUGGUUUUGCCUCCUGAAUGAAAAUUGUAGUGCAAAUUUUAUUAAUGCAUGGAUUUUUAAGCAAAUUUAAGUGAUUUCCACACUACUCUUUUUUCUAUGCAGUCUUUCAAUUUUUUUUUUUUUAGUAUUUGAAUUGAAUAAACAAAAAGAGAUCAAGAAGUGUAAACAAGAGAAGUGCCGAAAGAGAACGUGGAAUGUAAAAAACACAAGUAAAUUUCUUUUGUGGUGACAUAGUUAAUUUUGAAAGAACGUGUGAAAAUCACUACCCAAAAAUUGAAAGACAAAGAGAACAUAUUUCUCCUACAAAGCAAUGCUUGCUCUUAUUGACAGAGACAAUUAAAUGAAAUUAGCAAAUUGAAUGAAACAAUAAAGAAUUGCAAGUGAGGAACAAAUUAAGCCUUCAAAUAUUUCCAUCUGAUCUCAAAUAAUUUGAGAGCCUCACAUGAUCCAUGGGAUCUCUCUUCUUUUUCUUGAAAUGCUUUGAGGCAGCUUUAAGCACCUUAUUCCACACCUGACCAAUAACACAAACUUCAUAUGCUAAAUUUACUACUUCAACAAUUAAGCCGUAUUCCACUGAGUAGAGUUGGCUGUAUGAAUUCUAAAACGCAAGUGCGCUCGGCUCUACGUAAGAAUUUAGAAAAAAACAAACAGAGAAACCAAAAUUACGGAAGAAAUUACAAAAUCAACUAAUUAAAUUCUCAAUCUUUCCCCAAAAUUUCCAAAAUUUAACAGAAAGAGCUUGUAAAAUGUGGCCCAUCUCUCAAAAUUUCCCUGAAUCUUAAUUUGUUUUCCCAGAAAAAUCUCAGAUUCUCAAUAAAAUAUGAAAAACGAAAAAUCUAAGAACACAGAUAAAAAAAAAAGCAGUACCUUUGAUGCAAUGGGGUUACAGUUAACCUUCACAGGAGUUGGAAAGAAGUCAGAGGCCAAAACCAUCUUGCUUUUCUUCCUCUUCAUCACCUUGUUCUUCAGAGCACUCUGAUUCAGAUUGAAACAAGUUGCAGUUGUGGAGAUCUUCUUUUUCUUAAUGCCCGAACCGGCUCCAGUGUCAACGAGGCUGCUUUUCUGAUUCUUCACCUCCAACCCCAUCUCGAAAUUGAGCUUUCGCGGUCUCCAGAAAUCCAAAUCCAAGUCCAUAUCCAAAUCCAUGGGAGCGUAAGCCCGGGGGACCAACGGGGACCAUAUCGAGCUCUGCGUGUAGUCGAAAUCAAAAGCGGAGUUGUCCGGGAACUUGCAGAGGAGCUCUUUGGACAUCACUGGCUGCAGAUACUCCACCACUUUGCAAGUGCUGCUCAAAGCUAAAAAACUCUCUCUCUCUUCUUCUUCUUGUUGUUUGAGUGAAGUGAGAGAAAAUGCUUCAUCUUCUACUGCCAUUGUUGUAGGGGUAAAGCUAAGUUGGUGCUUUUUGGUCGCAAAAGAUGAGAACUUUUGUGUUGGUGAAGUUUAGUUUUGGUGCUUGAUAUGAGCAGAUAUAAGGAGAAGAAGGAGAAGACAAGACAGGAAAGUUACCGUUACAUUGACUAUAUUAAAAAUGUCGAACGGCCAAAAUACAAUGUCGUGUCUGACCAAAAAAAAAGCAUUCUGAUAUGUCGAAUCUAGGCCCAAACAUCUGAUCUUUUAUAUUUAAGCCCAGUUUUUAUUGGGUUUUCUGAUAUGAAAAGCCCAAAACAAUUUUUUUUUUUCUCAUUUGAGAUUUUACAUUUCUAGUUGCUCUUAAGAAAUUAAGAUUGCAAGUAAUUUGUAGCGUGACUUUUCCACUCAAAUUGUAACCCUUAUUAUAACACGUUAAAUAAUACAUUACGUGGUUUGUGUUCCUAAUUAUAAUUUUUUUUUCAAGAUUACAAGUAUGACCCUUCAAAAUAAGGGAUGUGAUUUCCAAACUCACUUGUUUUUGCCCUAACCCUUGAAUUGAAUAAAUCAAAGGGAGUCGUGUAGAAGGAGAAAAUGAGGGUCAAAAUUACUAUUCCAACAUAAAGUUAUAUAAAAAGAGUCUACCCAUGGUGUCGUGUCAAGUGUCAAAUAUCAAAAAAUGAAUAGGCGAUUGAUUUUAACACUCCUCUUUUGACUACUGUAAAAAAUUCGAACUGUAAAAAACUAAGAAAAGUUUAACUUGGUUAUUACAUGAUGAGUAGUACAACCACAAGAGUUAAACCUCAAUGUGUUUUACCUUAAUCUUUCUCCCUAAACAUGUUCACACAAAUGAUGUAUAGUAGUUUCUCCUCUGUUUUUUCCUAGGAAGCUUGCUUUGGGGACGUUUGGGUGCAAAAGAUGAUGCCUCCCUCAGAAGAUAAGGAGGCAUCCAACGGCCGAUGACAUCCAGUACUAGGCUUUCAGCUACUUCCUUUGGAGGGAUGUCAGGCCAAAACUCAACUCGCUGACGCUCAGUAGCAAUCCUGGCUAGCAAGUUAGCAGCAAAAUUGUCACCCAUGGUGACCGAGCGGAAUGUCACACUCUUCAACUUUUGCAAGUCAUGAAUGCAACGAAAAACAAGCCCCCGGGUCAAGGAGUCGGGUAUCUUGGUCUCGCCUGUGAUCAUCUCAAACACAAAUGGAUGAUUACCUUCUAUCUGUAGGUAAUCAAUUCCUUCAGUUAUCGCAAAGUCAACUGCCCGGGAGAAAGCAGUUAAAUGUGCCACUACACCGUCGCUGACCUUGCCAGAAGGUCCAGCAAUGGCAGUUUUGAACACAGCAUUGUGAUCUCUCACAAUGCAAGCAAAAGAACCGGUCCCUGAUUCUGGCUCAUGGUGACCAGCGAAGCUGAUCUUCCAUGCAUUAUUGGGGGGGCGAAGUCCAUGAAAUGUGCUGGGCAAGCACUAUCUGAUUAGCAAAUAGCAUAUCUAGGAAAGGGCUUGCAGCCAUAUUUGUUUGUACCGAAUGAGGCUAAAGCUUAGCAACUAACACACAAUGGUUCCUAACUCGAACACAGAGACCCAAAUUUAUACUAUGAGUUUACCUAAUCUACUCGUCCAAAACAGGUUAUCAUGCCAUUUCAGGUUAUACGUUAUAAGAAAGGUAAAAAUCGUACUUUGGAAAGGGGCCGUUGAGUACAGUCCAUUGCUUUCCAAAUGCGAGAAAUCUACCAAGUCUAGACAUGCUAGAGAUGGCAAGAGUCCGUUGCCAACGGUGUCAUAAUUUUGUAACAUUUUGAGCGAAAAAAUAAUUGACAUUCCGAAUAAUGAACAUGACUGGAUUUUCUUAUAAAACUUGAGAACAGUUCAAGGGGUUGUUGGCAACGGUCAUAUAACUUAUUGUCCAAGUUUAGUGGCUGUGUUUAAAUUUGAACUCUAAAACAUAAUCGAACAAACCAGGUAGGCAACUUCUUCCCAAAUUGCCGUAAGGAGGAAGAGUUAGGUUACAAAUAGCAAAAUAUCAUUGCCAAAUGGUAACAGGACUGCCAAAUUAUAACAGGUUGACAUCGAAUGCUUAAUUCAAAAGAUAUCAACAAGAAUAACUUCAAGAGCUACGGAGUUAUAGCCAACUAAGUGUGAUUAGUAAAGGAAAGAACUUCUUCUUUAGCAAAUCAAGUUACGGGGGUUUAUGUGGAACUUAAUUUUAUGUGUUCUUGAUAUUCAUAGGGCCUUCUAGUGUUCUUAGCUAGAACAGAAAGUCAGUACCUACUAUGUGUCUGCAAUGAAAUAUACGAGAGUAUGACAUGCCAGAAAAUAAGAUGGGCAUCUUAUCCUUGACGACGAGUAAAAGUUGUAUGCAGUUCUUUUGUUCCCAACUUCAGUAUGGUGUGUGUCUGUGGCCUUUCAGCCUCCGUGCCUUCGUGGUUACAUUGGCAAACAAAAACUCCUUGGUAUCAGGUUCAAUGAUGAGCAUGAACCAAGAGUUCGGCAGGUAUGAAGUUUAACUAAUAUCCCAUAUAGCUGAGAAUGCUUAGAGCAAGAUUCAUCUUCUUCAAGUUAAGGGUUUUUAAGGCGUUCCAUGACGAUGCAAAACAAAAUAUCGAAGGACCCAUAACUUGCGGAGAAAUGCAGGACCUAAUAUAGAGAGUGAGAGGGAAUGAAGUGUGCUGCUCUUUUGAGUGAAAAGCAAGCAAAAUAAAGUUCAGAAAAAUCUCCAAUGUUCAUAUUUCUCCAUUGCCAAGCAAGCAUAUAUUCAAAGGAAGCUACAAAAAGUGAGAAAAUUUACUUGUACACCUCUCCAAAAAUUGACACACUCUUUAGUAAUACAAACUAGUGAAGAGGAAUCUCCUUUAAUUAGUUUCACUUUAUGUCCUGCCUAUAUAUAUAUUCCAAGUGUGUUCUUGGGAGAUGAUUAAAUUAAGCAGAAAUUUCAGUUUGGUCUUUUUGAGUGUUUUUUAUUUCAAGAUGUAUCGCAUGCGAUUGAGCAUCAUACCAAUUUUCUACAUCUCCAUUUCAAUCACUACUUUCUCCAUUCUAUGUGGUAAGCAAGCUCUUUUCUUUGUGUCUAGAAUCAUUAAUGUCACCCUACUCGUGAGCGAGAGAAGCUUAUAUGCAUAUGGAGUGUUAUUAUGUUAAUAUUUCAAGACUAUCACACAAGCAAUGUGUUUUAACUUCUCAAUUUGUACUGCGUGAUUGACUUGAGAUACUGUCAUUGUGACAAUAUGUCAAUGUGAUAGUAUCCUAAGCCUAUCAUGCAAGCAAUGUGUUUUAAUUUCCAUGUUGUAGCAUGUGAUUGACUUGAGAUACUGUUAGUGCGACGUGUGAAUUGUAUGCGUACUUCCCUUCCUACAACUUAAGUUACUUGAACAACUUUUACAACUAAUUCUGUGGUUUGUUUUAGUGCAGAUGCAAGAAGUUUUGCGCAAUUCUUUAAACCCCAAGACACAAAACUACACAAAAGCAAAUCAAUCCAUGAAUUAGAGAAGAACAAGCUGAAAGCAAUAAAUCACUUGGACUUACAUUUUGCGUUGGCUUCCCCAAAUAUUGAAUUCCAACCGUUCGAUGCCAGCUCUCCCUUCUCAUCACCACCGUUGGAUUCACCAGCACCGGGACAUCUCCCUCUUCCAGCUCCAAACUCCGUAUCCCCACCAAUUCCUCCAAACCCACCUCUUGCAAAUCCUCCUCCAUCUGGGCCCACUUCCUCACCCAUCCCAAGCCCACCACAAAAUGGGCCUAGCCCACACCCACCAACCACAAUCCCAACCCCACCCAAAUCAGUCCUGAGCCCACCAGUCCUUCCGCCGCCAAUAGCUUUCCCUCCACCGUCCGGACCGCCAUCCCCUCCGCAGAAAAAGCCACCGCAGUUUGCCGUGUGGUGCGUGGUGAAGCCGACAGUGCCGGACCCGAUAAUCCAAGAAGCCCUGGACUAUGCGUGUGGGUCCGGGGCAGACUGCAAGUCAAUCCGGCCCAAUGGGUCCUGCUACCAGCCCGACACAUUGUUGUCGCAUGCUUCGUAUGCCUUCAAUAGUUACUGGCAGAACACGAAGAUCGCUGGAGGCACUUGUGACUUUGGAGGGACUGCCAUGCUUGUCACAGUUGAUCCAAGUAAGUCCAAAUUUUUCCCAUAUCAAGAUAUAUUUUUGGCAUAUUGCAUUUGAUAUUUUCGCAGAACUUUCCUUCAAGGACACGUUGUUUCAUUCAAGGACAAGUGGUUAAGUUCUUUAAAAUUUCAAACGCUAUUUUACUUUAGACUAAUCUCAAUUGCGACGGAAAAAUUAAAUAAGUUUGCCUACGUAGUCCAAAUUCCUUACUAAAUCCGGUGUUCUUUGUUUUCAAAAAGUUAAUGCAAAUCCCAAGAAACAUAUAAUAAUUCAAUAAGCUGUGUAAGCUUUUUCUUUACUCGAUGACUGGAAAAUUGGAUGCAAAAAACGCAUGUUACAGACGUCGAUACAGGAUGAGGAACCAUGACAAAAAUUAAGUGUUUUUUUUUUCCUCUCUUUUUCCUCAAACGAUAAACUAAAUGUUUGGUAGAAUAUGAUCCUGUCUUGGUUAAUAUAUUAGGAUUUAAAUAGUAACAUCCAGAAACAAAGAGAUAAUAUUGAAUGAAAAUCAACAUCUCUUUCCUGUAAGAGCAACUCCACCCAUGUGGGUUGCUCGGGGGACAGUGGAGAAGAAGGGGCCGGAGGCCCGGUGGAGAGAGGUCCAGCCGUGUGGAGGCCGAGCGACGGUGGGAGCCCGAGCGAAGGGGGGUGGGGAGUCGACGGGCCUGUGGCCCGAGGACUUUGCAAUUUUUUAUUUUUUUUUGUGUCAGAGAGAGAGAGAGAGGGGUUUUUUAUUAUUUAAACAAACAAAAAUUAUUUUAAUUGCUUAUAGCCAGGGAGGAGGGUUUCAAGGGUGGAGAUGUAAAUGGCAAUUACUGUUUAUUAAUGGUAGUUACUAUUCAUUUAAGGCAGUUACUGUUCAAUAGGGUGGAUUGAAUAGUGGAUUGCCAGGGGGAGGGCUCCAUGGGUGGAGUUGCUCUAAGGGAGCAGGGUUGUUGGAAAAGGUAAUCAAGGAAAAGCCAUGCAGAACUUUGCAUUUUGAUUUGGACCCACAAUCGAUUUCAAUUUGAUUGAGUGUACCCCUAAUGGGGAAUGAUUAAUUCUUCAAAGUUUUGCUAGCUAGCUAGCAUAACCUGCACGUUUAUGGGUGACUGUGAUGAAUCGCAGUUUAUUCUAAUUAAUAGUUAGGCAGUUGUUAAAUGAUUGAUGAAUCGAGAUUUAUACUUCUUAAUGGCUGGGUGAUUGUCAAAUUAUUGAUGAAUCAAGGUUUAUAUAUGCUCCUCAAUGGUUGGGCGAUUGUCAAAUUAUUGAUAAAUCGAGGUUUAUACUCCUCAAUGGCUGAGUGAUUGUCAAAUUAUUGAUGGGUCAAGAUUUAUGCUCCUUAUCGACACUUGACAGUCACGCAACAAAUGUUACUAGGAAUUCUCCAAAAACAUAUCUUACAUCGUAUUCGUUGGUGUCAUUGCUCAUCAUGUGCAUCUUUUGACCUUUACAAAAGAUCAUGUCUCUAGCUAAAUUCCUAUGACUCUUACAUCUAUGAAAUAUAUGCUUAUAGAGUUUAACGAGUAGUUGCAGGUGGCCUUCUACCACAGUGGUGGAGAUGAAUGACGUCAGUCAGUGGCAAAUCUAAUUUCUAACUUAACAACAAUAUCGCUCAACUUCCAAAAAAAAAUGUUUAACAAGUAGUUAAUUAAUAAUAUUUAUCUUUCUUACUUUAAUUGUGGUGAGCAAUAUUUUUAGUAUAAUUACUUUAUAUUUUCUUAUAGGGUGACCCUACACUAAAUUUGCUUUAUUUUAUCUCUUUUACUUUAAAUUGGUGUUGCUUUGAUGAGUGACACAAGAUGCUAACACAUCCUCUGCAUGAUUGUGACAUGGCAGGUUAUGAUGAAUGCAAUUUCUUCUUCAACGGAUGAUCUUGAAACAUAUAUAUAUAUAUAUAUAUAUAUAUAUAUAUAUAUAAUAUAUAUAUAUAUAUAUAUAUAUAUAUAUAUAUAUAUAUAUAUAUAUAUAUAUAUAUAUAUAUGACUCUAUUAGCUAUUACGAGAUUAAGAAAGAAAAAAUGCUAGGAAGAUCAAUUUUGUUAGACUAUUUUUUGUUGAUGCAUAGUGUGGCAAUUAAUGGUUAGACUCAUGUUUUAAAAUAAUUUAAAGAAAGAGUCUAACCAUUAAUCACCAUAUCAUGUCAAUUACAAAUGAUAAUUUAAAAUUUUUGGUUUCUCUAGCAUCAAAUUCUGUUAACUUAAAAAUUUAUUUAUUUUUCAGAAGAGAGCUACACACUAUGUAUACAUCACAUUUUAUUUAGGAGGAGUUCCAUAUUUGUGAGUGAAAAUGGAACUUUGGCUAGAAGUAGUGGCACUUGAAAGUGAAGUUGUAUUGAUCAUUUUGUCUUCCAGUGUCCACUUUAUGUACAUGGAAUAUACAUGUUGGCUAGCUGUUGCAGAUUCCCUUUGAGAUUUCCAGAUUGUCCAAAAACUGCAUACACACAUAGUUCUUUGAUUUAGCAGGAUUAAAAAGAAUGGUGCUUUUAUUUCACCAAUAAGAAAUAACUCAUCAUGAGUAUGAUCUCAUCAUUGAUAUUAUGAGUUAUUUCUUUGAUUUAGCACGAAUGAAUUGAUAAAGAUCAAAAGUCAAAAUUGAUAAGGAUGUAUGAAAAGCAAAACUAGGUGCUAAUAAUACUAUCCUUAAUGUAAAUAAUAUUGUUGGUGAAAAAAAACAAAAAAAACACUAUCCUUAGUCAAUUCUUUGGCGAACAUAACUUUUCACAUUACAAAAUAAUACAAACCCUAAUGACUUUUCAAAGGUCGUUCGAUGAUCUUUUUGUGACGGUAAGUGAAGCAUUACUCUUAUCCUUAACUCGAAAAAAUAAAUUUAACCUAUUAUAUAUGUACAUGAUGGUUAUAUAUAUAUACGCGCCAUGCAUGGACCAACGUCGUCUUACCCGGGCUUACACCACAUGUACUUUCUGAAAUGCAAUUUCAUGUGGCUAGGGUUAGCACCUAUGUAAAUUAAAAGAAAGAAUAAAUUACAUUUUACUACUUCAAUUUUAGGUUGCAUAACAAACUCAUACAUCAUAUUUUAAACAUUGCAAUGCCAUACAUUAAAUUACAAAUUCGUUGUCAUAUCAAACUUCCGUUAAAAAAAUCUAUUAAGUUAGCCGUUUAUCCAUACAACCACUCAACGGUUAACGUAACAGAUUUUUUAACAGCGGUCCGACAUUUAACGAAUUCGUAAGUUAAUUGAUGUAAACAUUGGAAUGAUCAGAAGAUGAGAUAUAAGUUUGUUAUGUGACCCAAAAUAAGAUGGUAAAAUGUAAUUUACCCUAAAAGAAAGUUCCUGCAUCCAAAUUUCAAAAAACUGAAUUUAAUUUCAAAAAUAUACAGUAAGGUGUAUGGCCGACACCCAAAUGCGAAUGCGAUUGCUUCUGUCUAUUCAUAGGAUAGGAAUGGCUAAAGUUAAACUAAGAAAGAGGUAAACACUAGUUGACUAGUCCUAUCCAAGGAAGGAAAUGAACACCCCCAUCCCCAAAAAAAAAAACCAUAUCCUUUUUAAGUUGAAAAAGUCUAGGGCCUAUUUUGUUUGUGAAAGAAUCACAUGUGGUGGUUUUGGCAUCAUGAACCCAAAUCACGGGUCGAUCGACUAGCAAACUUCAUGUUCAAACUUUGCCUAUAUCAAAAUCCUUCCGAGUUUUCUUGAUUUCUUACCUUUAUCCUUAGCCACAUAUAUGAUUGGAAUAGAAAUUUGCAAGUUUCCAAAUAUAUUAGAUUGAAAUGAAUUUAGGCACACAAACAUGAACAAAUGGAUUUAGUAUUGAUUCAUUCAACUUCAAGUAAGCAUUCUGCAAAUCCCUCUCAAUUCACUGUAUCUAUCAUUUCAAAUCCAUUCAUCUAAUCUUUUACAAUGCAUUUCUAACUAAUUUAACUUAAAUUUAAUGGUACAUACAAAUUUGUCUUCCAAAAGCAUCACAAUGCUCUUGUGCCGGAUUACUUAUAUAUCUAUUAAGCAUACUUACUGCAUAAGCUAAGUCAGGCCUGGUCGAAUUCAUCGAAUACAUUAGACCUCCAAUUACUUGAGAAUAUUCAAGUUGAGAUAUGACAUUACUUUUAUUUUUCUCCAACUUGAAUCCAGCAUCAAAAGUAGUUGCAGCAGGUUUGCAGUCAAAUUAACCAAACCUUCGUAAUAUUUUUUCCGCAUAAUAGGACUGUGUAAGGACAUACCCUUCACUAUUUCUCUUAAUGUGAAGUUGUAUUGAUCAUAUUGUCUUCCAGUGUCCAUUUUAUGUACAUGGAAUAUACUUGUUGGCUAGCCGUUGCAUAUUCCCUUUGAGAUUUCUAGAUUGUCCAAAAACUGCAUACACACAUAUUUCUAUGAUUUAGCAGGAUUAAAAAGAAGGGUGCUUUUAUUUCACCAAUAAGUAAUAACUCAUAAUGAGGAUGACCUCAUAUAACAUUCUAGAGUCUGUUUGAUAAUCAUUCUUUUUUUAUUUUUUAUUCUAUAUGUUAAAGAUAGAACAUGAGAAAAUGUGGGCAUAGAAGAGUGGAGAAGUGAUGUUGGGAAAGAUGUAGAGAAGAUGUGUAAAGAAAGGUGUACAAAACGAAAUCUAAAAACUAAAAUUUAAAAUUAUAUACUUUGAAUUGUUUUCACUUUCGAGAUUUUGUUUUCAUUCCUUCUUCUUUGUUUUGUCCCGUCGCUCCCUCGAUCUUUCUUCAUCCCUAAUCUCCUCAAUAUAUUUUGCCCAUAUCUCAAACAAAAUAUAAAAACUAAUAGUAAAUACCCAAUGAAACUUGUUUCGUAACAAGCUAGCAUUACUACUUUUUUUUUUUCCUCUCAAGAGUCGAGAUAGAAUAUCUAGCUAGAUCAAUGUUUUUGUCGACAAAGAUACCUUGCACCAAAAGUAGGCCAGCUGCUUUACCAUUUUUAGACAUACUUCAAAUGGCGUCUAGUGACCGAGAGGUUGGACUUUCACCAUUAAACGCCAAUACACAGACUUGUUUGCAAUAGGAAGAUGAUGACAAUACAUGCAUGUGUUCAUUAUUUCCUCCAUAUUUAUACAAAGGUAGUGCUAUCCAAACACCUAUUUUUACUGUUCACACACAAUCUUAAUUUUUGAUAGUCGGAACGAAUGAAUUGAUAAAGAUCAAACACCAAAAUUGAUAAGGGUGUGUAGAAAGCAAAACUAGAUGCUAAGAAUACUAUCCUUAAUGUAAAUAUUAUCGUUUAUUAAAAACAAAAAACAAAAAAACACUAUCCUUAGGCAAUUCUUUGGCGAACAUGACUUUUCACAUUACAAAAUAAUACAAACCCUAAUGACUUUUCAGAUGUCAUUCAAUGAUCUUUUUGUGACAACGGGUGAAGCAUUACUCUUAUCCUUAACUUGAAAAAAUAAAUUCAACCUAUUAUAUAUGUACAUGAUGGUUAUAUAUAUACAUGCCAUGCAUGGACCAACGUCGGCUCACCCGGCUUACACCACCUGUACUUUCUGAAAUGCAAUUUCACGCAGCUAGGGUUAGCACCUAUGUAAAUUAAAAGAAAGAAUGAAUUACAUUUUACUACCUCAAUUUUAUGUCGCAUAACAAACUCAUACAUCAUAUUUUAAACAUUGCAACGUCAUACAUUAAAUUACGAAUUCAUAUCAAACUUCCAUAAAAAAAAAUAUGUCAAGUUAGCCGUUUAUCCACAUAAUCACUUAACGGUUAACUUAACAUAUUUUUUAACAGUGGUCAAACAUUUAACGAAUUCGUAAGUUAAUUGAUGUAAACAUUGUAAGGAUUAGAAGAUGAGAUAUAAGUUUGUUAUGUGACCCAAAUAAAGUGAUAAAAUAUAAUUUACUCUAAAAGAAAGUUCCUACAUUCAAAUUUCAAAAAAAACAAAAUUUAAUUUCAAAAAUAUAUAAUAAUGUGUAUGGCCGACACCCAAAUGCGAAUGCGAUUGCUUCUCAUUCAUAGGAUAGGAAUGGCUAAACUUAAACUGAGAAAGAGGUAACACUAGUUGACUAGUACUAUCCAAGGAAGGAAACGAACACCCCAUCCCCAAAAAAACACCUUGUCCUUUUUAAGUUGAAAACCUAUUUUUGUCCCCAUGCCCAUCUUUUGAUAAUUAAUUAUAUGAGAAUUGUUAUUAACAUUUCAAAAAUCUUAUGUUACACUCCAAACUUUCUAUAUUAGGAAAAAUUAAUUAUAUGAGAAUUGUUAUUAACACUUCAAAAAUCUUAUGUUACACUCCAAACUUUCUAUAUUAGGAAAGAAAAAUACACGUAUGAGAAGUGUAGAAUGAAAUUUUUGGAGUGCCAAUAACACUUUCCAAUUAUAUAUUAAUUAUCAAUUAGUACACCACAAAGUUCAACUCCAAGAUUUGAGUUUAUUCUCUAUGGUUUAUUACUUCAAUUGCUUUCUAUAAGGGAUAAAACCUUAUAAAGUAAGGGAACUUUUUAAUAAUGACCAAUGUGGGACAAUGAAAUUUCUACUCAAAAUUUUCAACAUCUCUCUCUAUCAAGCACACACACUAACACUUAGGUCUGUCUCAGUACCCAUAAAGCCUCUAUAAAGCCAUUUGCUUGGUAUUGGGUUUCAACAUCCAGUUUUGUACUCAACUCUCUGGAGAGUUGUGGAGUUGUAGUAUUGACAUGGAGAUCAAUUAUGCUCUGGCUUUGCUCUUAGUCCUCAUUCUCAACUUGGGUAGUUUGCUCACUUCUCUUGCUAACUCCUAUUGCCCACCACCGCAUGUCAAACCACCUCAUGCAAAGCCUCCUCCUCAUGUACCCACGAAACCACCUCAUGUUAAACCACCCAUUGUAAAGCCACCUCCCUAUCCGAAACCUCCUGUUCCCAAACCACCUCCCCAUCCCAAACCUCCUGUUGUGAAACCACCACCUGUUGUAGUGCCAAGCCCACCACCAACACCAACACCAACCCCAGUUGUCCCAGUGAAGCCUCCUCCACCCACCGAAACACCAUGCCCUCCUCCACCACCAAAGUUAGUACCACCACCACCAUCUCCACCAAAGGACACGUGUCCCAUCGACACCCUAAAAUUGGGAGCUUGUGUAGAUGUGUUGGGUGGUCUUAUCCACAUUGGAAUUGGAAGCAGUGCCAAAGAUACAUGUUGUCCGGUGCUUCAGGGACUGGUGGACUUGGACGCUGCUAUUUGCCUUUGCACCACCAUCAAGGCUAAGCUUCUCAAUGUCAACCUCAUCAUCCCCAUUGCUCUUCAGGUGCUCAUUGCUUGUGGGAAGACUCCUCCCUCUGGAUUCCAGUGUCCUGCAUAGAUGAUCAUCAUAUCUUAUUCCUAAAUCACACUUAGUAGUUGUUAAUCAUGUCAUCAUUAGUGAUAUGUGGCGCCGGCUAGCUGAUAAUAAAGCAUGUCAAAGCUUGGAAGUAAAAACUACAUGAGGAUAAAUCUGUUAUUCGUUUUUGUUUUGUUUUGUUUACUUGAAGAGUGUAUCAGAUCGAUAGACUGGUAAUUUAGUCAUGUUAUUUUCUUGAACCUUGGAAGUAUAUAUAAUAACCUGAGUUUAAAGAAGACCUUCAUUUUUCACCGUUCGUCAAUCUCCUGUAGAGGACUUACAUGGAACACCACCACCGUGCCCGUGACAUCAUGGUCUAAUAAUACAACUUCAUUUGUAAUUAAAGAAACUCACAUAUGACAUUAUAUUAUUGAACUGAGACACUAGUGUAAAUAUUUUAAAUUGAUGAUAGGAUUCUUCACUAUAUUCUUAUAGAGUCGAGUAGUAGUUUUAUAAAAUCAUCAAAAUUAGAGCUCAAAUAACCAUUAAAUUAUGAUUUUUUCGUUUCUAACCGUCGAAGAAUUUCGUCCUGUUACCUAAUAUAGUAAUACUGGUGAUUUUUGGUGUGUGCAAUCUUAGAGUAUAUACAAAUAAGUUUGACAGCUUGAUUGUUGAAAUUAAUUUUGCAGACAUCGAAAAUCAUCUAAGGAACUAAAUACGCCAAUCAUGUCUGUUACCUCUGCCUUAUGAAAUAUAUGUUGGAAAAUAUUAGUAUUUAGGUUUAUUUUAGUAUUUGGGUUUUGCUUGUUAGUUUAGGAUUUGUGCUUAGCCCAUCCGAGUUAGGGUUUCGUAGGUUUAGUUCUCUAUAAAUAGAGCUUGUAAUUUAGUUUGACAAUAAGUUAGCCACAAUGUAGUCUCUUAGGGUUUUGUAGCCGCUUCGGCAUUCUCAGUUUGUUUAAUAAUAUUCUUAUUAUUUGUUAGUCUUGUUUGUUGCGCACUGAUAUUCAACUUGGUAUCAGAGUAGGUUUGAUUCUUCGGGAUCUAAUCUGCUUCUGUUUGUUCGUAUCAGUUUUAUUUCUUUCCAGUUUCCAUCCGUAAAUUUUUUACGUUUUCUGGUUUGGUUUUUCAGUUUGUCCUUGGUAGUCUUCAAGAAAGGAAAAAAAAAUUCUGUUUUUGAAAAAAAAGAAUUUGGUGAAUUUGUCUCACACCCAAAUUUGAAAAUGCUCCAUCGCACUAAGAUUUCUGCAUUCCCCAGCCCCACCUUGCAUCUGGAUCCGUCCACAACCGUACACCUGCGAAAAAAAAGAAACAAGAAAAAAGAAAGGCUAAUGUUGCUGGUUGGUUCACACAGAAGAAAAAUAAGGAAGGAAGAAGGAAGAAAAAAAAAGCGGGGGGGAAAAGGAAGGAAAAAAAAUUGGUUGUUUUGAGGUUUUGUUGCCCUCGUAUUCUUGCAUUGGGUAUGGUAUUGGAAUUUGGCAUUGGGCAUGGUAUUGGAAUUUGGCAUUGGUAUUGGUAUUGGCAUUGGCAUUGGUACUGGUAUCGGCAUUGACAUCUGCAUUGGCAUUGGCAUUGGCAUUGGCAUUGGCAUUGGCAUUGGCAUCGGCAUCGUCAUUGGUAUUGGCAUCGGCAUCGGCAUCGGCAUUGGUAUUGGUAUUAGCAUCGGCAUCGGCAUUGGCAUCGGCAUCGGCAUCGGCAUCGGAAUUUGGAGGCUUGCAUCCACAUCUGCUUGUUGGCAAACUCAUGUCGUGUACCACCAUGAGUUUGACGGGAGGUGUUGGAAAAUAUUAGUAUUUAGGUUUAUUAUAGUAUUUGGGUUUUGCUUGUUAGUUUAGGAUUUGGGCUUAGCUCAUCCGAGUUAGGGUUUCGUAGGUUUAGUUCUCUAUAAAUAGAGCUUGUAAUUUAGUUUGACAAUAAGUUAGCCACAAUGUAGUCUCUUAGGGUUUUGUAGCCGCUUCGGCAUUCUCAGUUUGUUUAAUAAUAUUCUUAUUAAUUGUUAGUCUUGUUUGUUGCGCACUGAUAUUCAACUAUAUAAACCCUAAUUACAACAUAUACCUUUGAGUGACGAAAGCUGGAAGGUUCGUCGUGUAAAGGUUGCCAUUUUAUGUGCCAAACUUUUAUCUUGGUGCGAAAACUUUAACCCACGACGUAAGCUUUGCUCGUCGAACUCUGUUCGCCGGGCAAAAGCAUCUGCAAAAACCAAAACGUUUGACCGUUUUGCUCGACAAACGUUUAUUUUGUCAGGUAAAGACUAUUUGGCCGACAAAAUACCGUUCGUCUAGCAAAACUUUGUCAGAAAAAUGGUAAUUUCUGGUUAUGUAUGAUAAAACUUUGUCGGACAAAUGAUAAUUUUUGGUAGUGUAUCAUAUAUAUAUAUAUAUAUAUAUAUAUAUAUAGAGGUUUCUCUCCCUUGUGUGUGUAUGUCUGUAUCUGUUGAUAUAGCGUGUUUGCAGGUUCACGUGAAUGUGUAGACUGUAGUGCAUUGAAUUAUUUUAAUUGCAUUCGUUUGUAAGAUAUCAGUAGGAAUAAAAUAUCAACGUCAAGGCUUAAAAAAAAAUAUCAACGUCAGGUACCACAUGUAAGAUACAUGCAACACGUACAACUUUCUUAUGGAUUUUGGAAGUUUGUCUAUAUUUAUACCAAGGCUUCCAAAAAUACGAGCCUUCUCCUCUCCUGCAUCCAAGUCCUGCUGAACAAGGAAGAAAAUAUCGGUAAUAUCGGAAAUAUCGGUAGUCCGAAAACAUGGAAAUAUCGAUGGAAAUAUCGGGAUAAUAUCGAUAUCGAUAAAAAUUACAUGGAAACCACGGAAAUUGUAAGAAAAACUUGGAAAUUUUUAUUAAAACUUUGCAGGAUGUUUAUUUAGUCAAUUAUCUAUUAGUUUAUCACAAAAAAAUUGGAAGGAAAUGCAUUGCAUGAUGGAUUUAACUGAUUUAAGUUGAUUAUAUAGCGAGCUGGCAAACAUUGUGAGUGUAGAAAAUAUAUAAUAAUUAAUGAAAGAAGUUUAAACACACCAUAAUCAUUUAUAUAUAAUGAAUUAGUACAAUAUUUUACACUUUAUACAUUGCAUGGUAAGAUACAUGAGUGACUAAGUACCACAUAGAGUUCCUAUGAGGUUCAAAAUUUUCACUAUCUUCAUCAUCACUAUGUGUAGAGUAAGUGUAUUGUGAAGAGUAGUUAGCAACCAUGGCAAUGACUUUCAAGAACCGAAACCCAAAAGUCAAUAGGAAACCGAAUACUUCGGUAUUUUUCGGGAUUUCAGGAUUACCAAACAAAUGGGAUUUGGAAAACCAAUCCCAUAUCGAAAAUUUCGGUAUUUUUCGGGAUGGUUUUGGUUUGGGACUUUUUCGGUUUGGUUUGGGAUUUUCGGGAAUUUUUUCCAACCAUACAUGUAAGUGACCAAAUAAAAAAUAGAAAAAUUAAAAACCACAUGCCAUUGACUAAGUAAUUAAUUGACACAAUUUAAAAUAUAAUACCACAAAAAAUUUGGAAUAUGUGCAAAUUUGUUUCUUGCAAAAAGAAUUCAAAACAAAACCAUAUAUAUAAAUAGUUUAGCAUGUUUUCACAAAAACGUAAGUGGUAUAGUGGUCAAGUUGCUGAAGGAGUUAGAUGGGAGGGGUUCGAAUCACUUUAUGUGCAUGUUUGAGACUUUUCAGAAAUUUUCAAAUAUUUUUAGGUUCAUCUCGCGAUAUAUAAUAUCGCGAUAAUAUCGAUAUUAUCGCGAUAUAUUAACGAUAAUUAUAAAAAUACUCACGAAAUAUCGUUAUAUGAAAAAACGAUAAUAUCGGCGAUAUUAUCGAUUUUUAAAUCUAUGCUGCUGAAUCACAUCCACCAAAUCCAAAGGGGAUUGGGAAUAUAAUUGCUCCAUCACACUCAAUUAUUGUUCGUGUAAUGUUUUCUUUGCACAACAUUUUAAUUCAAAUUUCACCAUGUUUUUUUAUGUUUCAAUUAUUUGAUCAAUUUAUUGGAGGAAAAAAAAACACAGGUUAGCGAUCGUACGAUCGAUAUCGACCACCAUAUCGACAAUACAGAGGGAAAAAGAAUAAGACAUGUCAUCACCUAACAUUUUUAAUAAUGUCACUAAAACAUUUCAAGUUCCAAUUCAAUCAACCUUUCCUGUCAGCAACAUAUGUCUCGCACCGACCUCUCAACACAAAGCACUUAUGUCACUCCUACGAGAAAUUCUAAGAUCCGACCGAACAAGCCAAGACACAAAAAACCCUUCCCCUAUCCCACCCCGAUUUUAACAUGUUAACCUGGCCUGCUUUUAGUCUCACUCUCCUCUCACACCACCUCCAAGUCGAAUGUCCUAGCUACACAAAAAUCUGUCUCCAGUCUUUUUAUAAUCCUGCUCUGGUAACCUCAGUUGAAUGGCAGGAUAAAUUUGAAUGGGGGGAGGAAAAAAAACCGCUAAAUUAUGUGUCGGAUCAUUUGUGCAUCAUGUAGUACUCAAAUUAAUGUGGUGUAAAAUGUGGUUUCGUUAGUAGUUUGAUGCCUCAGGUUUUCUGCUUUCUUUUGGUAAUCACAUUAUUAUAGCGCACCACUUAAUUAGCACACCAUUUGAUAACUCCCUAGCUAGUAUAUACGUAAUUUUUUUAUCUCAUUCAUUUUUCUUCCUAGUCUCUCUUCUUUUCAUUUCUUUUUUUCCAAUUAGAGGAAACAAUGCUAAGAUAUAUAAUUUUGAUAUGAACCCUAAACCGUAAUUUUAUAUAUGAACCAUAAACCCCAAGUUUUUAUCUGAUCAUUUUGGUGGAAAUAAUCUUUUUUUUUUUUGUUUAAAACGAACAAAAUUGUUUGUAGGGCGAGUUUUGAAAAAUUCAGUGAUUCACAAAUAAAGAUGGGCGUCCACAUAUUUGUAAACUUUGGCAAGGCUGGGUUGUCAAGGAAAUAGGUGUCCAGAGGCAAUGUUUGGGUGUAAACAGAACUACUCAUAUCAAACUCACGAAAACAUCCUUGAAUAUUAUUGGGCUACAUGCGCGAAAACAUUUGAACUACCCUUAUCUAAAUUUCCCCCCUUACUCCUGAGCAGAGUAAAACCCUGGUCAUUUCUUGAGGAAGAAGACGACGACGAAUUGGAGAAAAAUAGGGCGCUGAGCUGAACAGCGGCUAAAAGCAUAAAUUUUCUUUGUCCAUCUGCACGAACAGAGCGCCAGAAAAACUGGGCAAGAUCCUCAUUUUUCAACGUUUGUCUUAUUAAUUAGCUUCUGAUGAAAUUUCAUUCGCAUAUUGUGGUUUUAUCUGUUUGAUGAGAUUUUAAUGUAGAGUUUGUAUCUGUUCGAUGAAAUUUCAUUCGCAUAUUGUGGUUUUAGCAUGUGAUUGACUUGAGAUAGUAUUAGUACGACGUGUUAAUUGCAUGCGUACUUCCGUUCUUACAACUUAAGUAACUUGAACAACUUUUACAACUAAUUCUGUGGUUUGUUUUAGUGCAGAUGCAAGAAGUUUUGCGCAAUUCUUUAAACCCCAAGACACAAAACUACACAAAAGCAAAUCAAUCCACGAAUUAGAGAAGAACAGACUGAAAGCAAUAAUCACUUGGACUUGCAUUUUACGUUGGCUUCCCCAAAUAUUGAAUUCCAACCGUUCGAUGCCAGCUCUCCCUCCUCAUCACCACCGUUGGAUUCACCAGCACCGGGACAUCUCCCUCUUCCAGCCCAAAACUCCGUAUCCCUACCAAUUCCUCCACACCCACCUCUUGCAAAUCCUCCUCCAUCUAGGCCCACUUCCUCACCCAUCCCAAACCCAUCACAAAAUGGGCCUAGCCCACACCCACCAACCACAAUCCCAACCCCACCCAAAUCAGUCCUGAGCCCACCAGUCCUUCCGCCGCCAAUAGCUUUCCCUCCACCGUCCGGACCGCCAUCCCUUCCACAGAAAAAGCCACCGCAGUUUGCCGUGUAGUGCGUGGUGAAGCCGACAGUGCCGGACCCGAUAAUCCAAGAAGCCCUGGACUAUGCGUGUGGGUCCGGGGCAGACUGCAAGUCGAUCUGGCCCAAUGGGUCCUACUACCAGCCCAACACCGUAUGCUUCGUAUGCCUUCAAUAGUUACUGGCAGAACACGAAGAUCGCUGGAGGCACUUGUGACUUUGGAGGGACUGCCAUGCUUGUCACGGUUGAUCCAAGUAAGUCCAAAUUUUCCUCAUAUCAAGAUAUUAUUUUGGCAUAUUGCAUUUGAUAUUUUCGCAGAACUUUCCUUCAAGGACAAGUUGUUUCAUUCAAGGACAAGUAGUCAUUUCUUUAAAAUUUCAAACGCUAUUUUACUUUAGACUAAUCUAAAUUACGAUGGAAAAAUUAAAUAAGUUUGCCUAUGUAUCCAAAUUCCUUACUAAAUCUAGUGUACUUUGUUUUCAAAAAGUUAAUACAGAUCCGAAUCUUUUUUUUUGUUUUUUUUUGGGGUUAAGAACCCUAAUCGUUGUUAAUGGCGGGUGACAGCAUGAGAGUAUCACUUGACAAAACGAUAACUUUCGUUUACUCGAUUAUCUUGUCCUUAACUAUAAUGGUAAUCAAAUUAUAGAACUUUGAAGAAGAUAAUUAGAAGUACACGUCCAUGAGUGCAAAUUUAAUUUAUAAACCUACAAGCAGACCUACAUAUCUUAGAUUCCCAAGAAACAUAUAAUAAUUCAGUAAGCUGUAAGCUCUUUCUUUACUCGAUGACUGGAAAAUUGGACAUGGAAAACGCAUGCUACAGACGUCGAUACAGGAUGAGGAACCAUGACAAAAACUAAGUGUUUUUUUCCUCUCUUUUUCCUCAAACGAUAAACUAAUGUUUGGUAGAACAUUAUCCUGUCUUGGUUAAUAUAUUAGGAUUUAAAUAGUAACAUCCAGAAACAAAGAGAUAAUAUUGGAUGAAAAUCAACGUCUCUCUCUUCUGUAAGGGAGCAGGGUUGUUGGAAAAGGUAAUCAAGGAAAAGCCAUGCAGAACUUUGCAUUUUGAUUUGGACCCUCAAUCGAUUUCAAUUUGAUUGAGUGUACCCCUAAUGGGGAAUGAUUAAUUCUUCAAAGUUUUGCUAGCUAGCUAGCAUCACCUGCACGUAAAUGGGUGACUGUGAUAAAUCGCAAUUUAUUAUCAUUAAUAGUUAGGCAGUUGUCAAAUUAUUGAUGAAUCGAGAUUUAUGCUCCUCAAUAGCUGAAUGAUUAUCAAAUUAUUGAUGGGUUGAGAUUUACACUCAUCGACACUUGACAAUCACGCAACAAAUGUUACUAGGAAUUCUCCAAAAAAAUAUCUUACAUCGUAUUCAUUGGUGUCAUUGCUCAUCAUGUGCAUCUUUUGACCUUUACAAAAGAACCUGUCUCUAGCUAAAUUCCUAUGACUCUUACAUCUAUGAAAUAUAUGCUUAUAAAGUUUAACAAGUAGUUGCAGGUGGCCUUCUACCACAGUGAUAGAGAUGAGUGACGCCCUUGCAUGAUGGCGUGGGUUCGAACUCCGUCAAUGACAAAUUUACUUUCUAACUUAACAACAAUAUUGCUCAACUCCCAAAAAAAAAAAAAAGUUUAACAAGUAGUUAAUUAGUAAUAUUUAUCUUUCUUACUUUAAUUGUGGUGAGAUAUCUUUAGUAUUACUUUAUAUUUUCUUAUAGGGUGACCCCACACUAAAUUUGCUUAAUUUUAUCUCUUUUGCUUUAAAUUGGUGUUGCUUUGGAUGAAGGAUACAAGAUGCUAACACAUCCCUUGCAUGAUUGUGACAUGGCAGGUUAUGAUGAAUGCAAUUUCUUCUUCAACGGAUGAUCUUGAAACAUACAUACAUGUAUAUAUAUAUAUAUAUAUAUUAGCUAUUACGACAUUAAGAAAGAAAAAAAUGUUAGGAAGAUCAAAUUUGUUAGACUAUUUUUUGUAGACUCAUGAUGUGGUGGUUGAUGGUUGGACUCAUUUUUUUUAAUAAUUUAAAUAAAUAGUCUAACCAUCAAUCGCCACAUCAUGAUAGUUUAAAAUUUUAUUUAUUUUUUAGAAGAGAUCUACACACUAUGUAUACAUCACAUUUUAUUUAGGAGUUCCAUAUUUGUGAGUGCAAACGGAACUUUUGGCUGUAGAAGUAGCGGCACUUGAAAGUGAAGUUGUAUUGAUCUUCUUGUCUUCCAGUGUCCAUUUUAUGUACAUGGAAUAUACCUGUCGGUUAGCUGUUGCAUAUUCCCUUUGAGAUUUCCAGAUUGUCCAAAAACUGCAUACACACAUAUUUCUUUGAUUUAGCAGGAUUAAAAAGAAGGGUGCUUUUAUUUCACCAAUAAGAAAUAACUCAUAAUGACGAUGAUCUCAUAUAACAUUGUAGAGUCUGUUUGAUAAUUAUUCAUAUUUUAGUUUUUAUUCUAUAUGUUAAAGAUAGAACAUGAGAAAAUGCGGGCAUAGAAGAGUGGAGAAGUGAUGUUGGGAGAGAUGUAGAGAAGAUGUGUAAAGAAAGGUGUACGAAAUGAAAUCUAAAAACUAAAAUUAAAAAUUAUGUACUUUGAAUUGUUUUCACUUUCGAGAUUUUAUUUUCAUUCCUUCUUUGUUUUGUGCCGUCGCUCCCUCGACCUUUCUUCAUCCCUAAUCUCCUCAAUAUAUUUUGCCCAUAUCUCAAACAAAAUAUAAAAACUAAUAGUACAUACCCAAUGAAACUUGUUUCGUAACCAGCUAGCAUUACUACCUUUUCUUUUCCUCUCAAGAGUCGCGAUAGAAUAUCUAGCUAGAUCAAUGUUUUUGUCGACAAAGAUACCUUGCACCAAAAGUAGGCCAGCUGCUUUACCAUUUUUAGACAUACUUCAAAUGGCGUCUAGUGACCGAGAGGUUGGACUUUCACCAUUAAACACCAAUACACAGACUUGUUUGCAACAGGAAGACGAUGACAAUACAUGCAAGUGCUCAUUAUUUCAUCGGUAUUUAUAUAAAGGUAGUGCUAUCCAGACACCUAUUUUUACUUCUCACACACUAUCUUAAUUUUCGAUUGUCGGAACAAAUGAAUUGAUAAAAAUCAAAUGCCAAAAUUGAUAAGGGUGUGUGGAAACCAAAGCUAGAUGUUAAUAAUAAUAUCCUUAAUGUAAAUAAUAUCGUUGGUUAAAAUAAAAAACACUAUCCUUAGUCAAUUCUUUGGCGAACAUGACUUUUCACAUUACAAAAUAAUACAAACCCUAAUGACUUUUCAGAGGUCGUUCGAUGAUCUUUUUGUGGCAGCAAGUGAAGCAUUACUCUUAUCCUUAACUUGAAAAAAUAAAUUCAACCUAUUAUAUAUGUACAUGAUGGUUAUAUAUAUACGCACCAUGCAUGGACCAACGUCGUCUCACCCGGGCUUACACCACAUGUACUUUUUGAAAUGCAAUUUCAUGCAGCUAGGGUUAGCACCUAUAUAAAUUAAAAGAAAGAAUAAAUUACACUUUACUACUUUAAUUUUAUGUCGCAUAACAAACUCAUACAUCAUAUUUUAAACAUUGCAAUGUCAUACAUUAAAUUACGAAUUUGUUGUCAUAUCAAACUUCCGUUAAAAAAUCUGUUAAGUUAGCCGUUUAUCCACACAACCACUCAACGGUUAACUUAACAGAUUUUUUUAAUAGCGGUCCAACAUUUAACGAAUUUGUAAGUUAAUUGAUGUAAACAUUGGAAUGAUCAGAAGAUGAGAUAUAAGUUUGUUAUGUGACCCAAAAUGAGGUGGUAAAAUAUAAUUUACCCUAAAAAAAAUGUUCCUACAUCCAAAUUUCAAAAAAACAAAAUUUAAUUUCAAAAAUAUAUAGUAAGGUGUAUGGCCGACACCCAAAUGCGAAUGCAAUUGCUUCCGUCUAUUCAUAGGAAUGGCUAAACUUAAACUAAGAAAGAGGUAACACUGGUUGACUAGUCCUAUCCAAAGAAGGAAAUGAACACCCCCAUCCACACCUCCGCCCCCCCCACCCCGCAACCAAAAAAAACACCAUAUCCUUUUUAAGUUGAAAAAGUAUAGGGCCUAUUUUUGUCCCCAUGGUUUUUUCUUUUUUAUUUUUAUUUUUAUUUUUUAUACAAGAAAAUUUUGUUUGUGAAAGCAUCACAUGUGGUGGUUUUGGCAUCAUGAACCCAAAUCACGGGUCGACUAGCAAACUUCAUGUUCAAACUUUGCCUAUAUCAAAAUCCUUCCGAGUUUUCUUGAUUUCUUACCUUUAUCCUUAACCACAUAUAUGAAUAGAAAUUUGCAAGUUUACAAAAAUAUUAGAUUGAAAUUUUUUAAAUGAAUUUAAGCACACAAACACGAACAAAUGGAUUUAGUAUUGAUUCAUUCAACUUCAAGUAAUCAUUUUGCAAAUCCCUCUCAAUUCACUGUAUCUAUCAUUUCAAAUUCAUUCAUCUAAUCUUUUACAAUGCAUUUCUAAAUAAUUUAACUUAAAUUUAAUGGUACGUACAAAUCUGUCUUCCAAAGGCAUCCCAAUGCUCUUGUGUCGGAUUACUUGUAUAUCUGCUAAGCCUACUUACUGGAUAAUCUAAGUCAGGCCUAAUCGAAUUCAUCAAGUACAUUAGACUUCCAAUUACUUGAGAAUAUUCAAGUUGAGAUAUGGCAUUGCCUUUAUUUUUCUCCAACUUGCAUCCAGCAUCAAAAGAAAUUGCACCAGGUUUGCAGUGUCUAUUUUGUGUAAGGACAUACCCUUCACUAUUUCUCUUAAUGUGAAGUUGUAUUUAUCUUCUUGUCUUCCAGUGUCUAUUUUAUGUACAUGGAAUAUACCUGUCGGCUAGCUGUUGCAUAUUCCCUUUGAGAUUUCCAGAUUGUCCAAAAAUUGCGUACACACAUAUUUCUUUGAUUUAGCAGGAUUAAAAAGAAGGGUGCUUUUAUUUCACCAAUAAGUAAUAACUCAUAAUGAGGAUGAUCUCAUAUAACAUUAUUGAGUUUAUUUGAUAAUCAUUCUUUUUUUAGUUUUUAUUCUAUAUGUUAAAGAUAGAACAUGAGAAAUGUGGGCAUUGAAGAAUGGAGAAGUGAUGUUGGGAAAGAUGUAGAGAAUAUGUGUAAAGAAAGGUGUACAAAACGAAAUCUAAAAACUAAAAUUUAAAAUUAUAUACUUUGAAUUGUUUUCACUUUCGAGAUUUUGUUUUCAUUCAUUCUUCUUUGUUUUGUUCCUUCACUCCCUCGACCUUUCUUCAUCCCUAAUCUCCCCAAUAUAUUUUGCCCAUAUGUCAAACAAAAUAUAUAAACUAAUAGUACAUACCCAAUGAAACUUGUUUCGUAACCAGCUAGCAUUACUACUUUUUUUUUCCUCUCAAGAGUCGAGAUAGAAUAUCUAGCUAGAUCAAUGUUUUUGUCGACAAAGAUACCUUGCACCAAAAGUAGGCCAGCUGCUUUACCAUUUUUAGACAUACUUCAAAUGGCGUCUAGUGACCGAGAGGUUGGACUUCACCAUUAAACGCCAAUGCACAGACUUGUUUGCAAUAGGAAGAGGAUGACAAUACAUGCAUGUGCUCAUUAUUUCCUCCAUAUUUAUACAAAGGUAGUGCUAUCUAGACACCUAUUUUUCCUUCUCACACACUAUGUUAGUUUUUGAUCGUUGGAACGAAUGAAUUGAUAAAGGUCAAACACCAAAAUUGAUAACGAUGUGUAGAAAGCAAAACUAGAGAUGCUAAUAAUAUUAUCUUUAAUGUAAAUAAUAUCGUUUGUUAAAAAAAAAAAACACACACUAUCCUUAGUCAAUUCUUUGGCGAACAUGACUUUUCACAUUACAAAAUAAUACAAACCCUAAUGACUUUUCAAAGGUCAUUCGAUGAUCUUUCUGUGGCGGUAGGUGAAGCAUUACUCUUAUACUUAACUCGAAAAAAUAAAUUCAACCUAUUAUAUAUGUACAUGAUGGUUAUAUAUAUACGUGCCAUGCAUGGACCAACGUCGUCUCACGCGGCUUACACCACCAGUACUUUUUGAAAUGCAAUUUCAUGCAGCUAGGGUUAGCACCUAUGUAAAUUAAAAGAAAGAAUAAAUUAUAUUUUACUACCUCAAUUUUAUGUCGCAUAACAAACUCAUACAUCAUAUUUUAAAUAUUGUAAUGUCAUACAUUAAAUUACGAAUUCGUUGUCAUGUCAAACUUCUAUUAAAAAAUCUGUCAAGUUGGCCGUUUAUCCGCACAACCACUUAAUGAUUAACUUCACAAAUUUGUUAACCGUGGUCCAACAUUUAACGAAUUCGUAAGUUAAUUGAUGUAAACAUUGUAAUGAUCAAAAGAUGAGAUAUAAGUUUGUUAUGUAACCCAAAUAAGGUGGUAAAAUAUAAUUUACCCUAAAAAAAAGUUCCUACAUCCAAAUUUCAAAAAAUAAAAUAAAAUAAUAAUAAUAAUUUCAAAAAUAUAUAAUAAUGUGUAUGGCCGACACCAAUGCGAUUGCUUCUCAUUCAUAGGAUAGGAAUGGCUAAACUUAAACUGAGAAAGAGAAAACACUAGUUGACUAGUCCUAUGCAAGGAAGGAAAUGAACACCCCCAUCCCAAAACAAAAUCCAUAUCCUUUUUAAGUUGAAAAAGUCUGGGGCCUAUUUUUGUCCCUGUGGGCCCAUCUUUUACAUAUUAAUUAUCAAUUAGUACAUCCCAAAGCUAAACUCUAGAUUGGGAUCAAUUUUUAUUCUUCAUGUUUAUUACUUCAAUUGCUUUUUAUAAGAGACCAACCUUAUAAAGUAAGAGAACUUUUUAGUAGCGACCAAUGUAGAACAAUGAAAUUUCUACUCAAAAUUACCAACAUCUCUCUCUAUCAAGCACACACACUAACACUUAGGUCUGUCUCACUACCCAUAAAGCCUCUAUAAAGCCAUUUGCUUGGUAUUGGGUUUCAAUAUCCAGUUUUGUACCCAACUCUCUGGAGAGUUGUGGAGUUAUAGUAUUGACAUGGAGAUCAAUUAUGCUCUAGCUUUGCUCUUAGUCCUCUUUCUCAACUUGGGUAGUUUGCUCACUUCUCUUGCUAACUGCAAUUGCCAACCACCAAAGUACCCUCCAGUUCCCCACUUGCCACCAAGAAGCCACCACCGCAUGUCAAACCACCUCAUGUUAAACCACCCAUUGUAAAGCCACCUCCCUAUCCGAAACCUCCUGUUGCCAAACCACCUCCCCAUCCCAAACCCCCAGUUGUACUGCCUCCACCAUCUACCCCUAAACCCCCAACUGUAAAACCACCACCACCAUCUCCACCAAAGGACACGUGUCCUAUCGACACCCUAAAAUUGGGA